rnacentral:lncRNA from 1 species
AUGAUGUGGAUGGUUCUAAGAACAUAAUCCACAAAUAUAUGGAUGUAAGAGGAGAUCUUUGAAGAGAUCAAGAAAUUAUAUCAUAGAUCUAAGUGGGAACUUACCAAAGUUGAUGAUCUUGAAUAAGAAUUUCUUGAAGUAUCCUCUAAUUCUCGAAAAUUUAGAGGAAAGUGUAGGAGUGUUCUUGUGAGAUUUCCUUAAGAGAUUUCUAAGUAAAAUAAGUGUGUUGGUGAUUUUUGGGCCCUAUGGCCGAGAUUAAGAAGAGAUAGGNAUUUUUGGGCCCUAUGGCCGAGAUUAAGAAGGAGAGAGGGGAAAAGAGAAGAGAGGUUUGAAGUGAUAGAAGUCUUGAUGCAUGAGAUUAGUUUUUGCAUGGAGGGUAUUUAGCAUGGGAACCCUACAUGUAAAAAUGAUGUGUCGCCAUGCAAUUUACCCUAUUUUUUUUAACCUUGGGCCGAAAAUGGCUCUAAUGGGAUGAAGAAAAAUGGUUUUGGGCUCAAUGUCUUGGCUUUGAUCGAACUUCAUAGCCCCAAUAUUAUUUUUCGGCCCAUUGUGCUUAAGGACGAUUCACGACCCCUUUUGAAUAAAAGAAAUGGAGUUUAUGGCCCAACAAGGCCUAUUAGAGAUAAAAAUGAAUUAUUUUAGGCCCACAUGGCCCAAAACAAUCUAGUUUCAUGACUGUGGGUCCAAGUAGAGCCCAAACAGUCGAUUUGAAAGUUUAUUGGUCCAUUAGGCCCAAUAAGAGAAUCCUAAUCCAUAAUGAAUUUGAGCCGAAAUUUCUAGGGUUUCCAACCCUUAGUUGAACAUAUGAGAUGUAUGUGAAUGAGAAUAGAUUAUAGUAAGUAUAGCCUUUUUCAAUGGAUGAUGUUUACAUGGGAAUCGAAUUUCCUAGCAAAUGCUAGUUGUGACACCUCAAAUGGUUCACACAACACCAAAUACACUUGGAAUAGAUUAGAGAGAAAUCCACACUUCAUGAAAAUUGGCUAGCCCUUUCACAUAUAUUCUAGUGCCGAUUUUGUCAACAAUAAGAUGCUUAUAUAGUUAGUGACAAUUAGGGUAAACCCUAAUUGUCAUGGCUUUCCAUUUCCUUGGAUCUAUGGAUUCAAAUACACCAUGGAGAAUCCAUGGAGCAUCUUAUGGGUUUUAGCCCAACUUGACAAUCCAUAAAGCAUUAGCCCAUUAUACAAGUAUGGAUAAUUUAUACAAUCAACCGAAAUAUUUAAUUAGUCUUCUUUUGAUCACUUAAUUAAUCCUAGAUUAAUUCUUGAUCAAUACUAAUUAAAUAAUCUUAUUAAUAUAUUAAAACUUCUAAUAUAUUAACAAACCUUAAGUGUUAUUUCUCUCAUUUUAGUCUAUCCAAAUGCAUGAUGUCAUGCAACCCAAAUGGACCAUGCUGGGUCGGGUCAAGUCUUACCAAUUAUAGUUAUUGACUUAGACAUUAAUCCAACAAUCCAGUCUGGGGGCAGUUUUGAUGCAACGUGGUUGUGUGAUUGCUUACGCUUUGAGGCAGCUGAAGCCUCAUGAUGCGAAUUAUUCGACACAUGAUUUGGAGCUGGGAGUCGUGGUAUCACACUCAAGAUUUAGCGGCAUUACCUCUAUGGGGUUCAUUGUACCAUCUACACGGACCACAAUAGCUUGAGGUAUCUAAUGGAUCAGCCGAAUCUGAACAUGAGGCAACAUCGUUGGUUAGAUGCGGUGAAAGAUUAUGAUUGUGAGAUCCUUUAUCACCCAGGGAAGUCCAAUGUGGUGGUCGAUGCUCUUAGUCACAAGGCAAUCGCGGCUCCAAUAAGAGAUAUAUGUUUGAGGAUGACCGUGAUUACUCAAUUAUUGGAGCGGAUUCAUGAGGCUCAUGCAGGGUAUAUGAAGGAAGAGCAUCGAAAGAGUGAACGCAUUGUAGGUUAGGUGGCUUCCUUCGAUUAUGGUAGCCAUGGAUUGCUGACUCUGCAUCGGCGAGUAUGGGUACCUUAUUGGGGUGGUUUGUGUCAGGUUCUUAUGAAGGAGGCAGGCACACGAGUCGAGGUUCUCCAUUCAUCCCGGGGCGACAAAGAUGUAUAGGGAUCUUCGUCCUAACUAUUGGUGGCCCUGCAUGAAGCGGUAUGUGGAAUGGUAUGUUGAGCGAUGCCUGACUUGCAGGAAAGUCAAUGUUGAGCAUCAGCGUCCUCACGGCAAGAUGCAGCCGUUGGAGCAUAUGGAAAUGGAAGACAUAACUGUGGACUUUAUUAUGAAGCUUCCCAGGACUGCGCGCAUAGUGGAUUCUAUCUGGGUCAUCGUGGAUCAUUUGACUAAGAUGACAUAUUUCAUUAUGAUCCAGGAGAGUAUUUAUAUAGAGAAGUUGGCCGAGAUUUAUGUCCGGGAGGUAGUGGCACGUCAUAGGGUGCCGAUAUCAAUGGUUUCAGACAUGGAUGUUCAUUUUACUUCCAGAUUUUGGAAGCGGUUUCAUGACAAGAUAGACACUCGUCUCCUUUUUAGUAUAACAUUUCAUUCAUAGACCAAUGGUCAAAGUGAGCGGACUAUUUAGACUCUUGAGGAUAUGUUGCAUGCGUGCGUGUUGGAUUUUGGUGGGAGUUAGGAUACGCAUCUUCCAUUAGCGGAGUUUUCGUAUAACAACAGUUAUCACGCCAGCAUCGAUCGACCUUCUUUUGAGAUGCUCUACGGGAGGAAAUGCAGUACCCCGAUUUGUUGGGGCGAGGUCGGUCAGCGAGUUAUGGGGAGUACCGAGGUGGUGCUCAAGACCACUAAGUUGAUUAAGCAGGUUCGAAGCAGGCUCCAGACAGCUGGGAGUCGGCAGAAGAGUUAUGUCGACAGGCAUCGAUCAGACUUAGAGUUAUAGAUGGGAUAUAUGGUUCUCCUGAAGGUGUCACCUUGGAGAGGUGUUAUCCCGUUCAGGAAGCGGGGCAAGCUGGGCCCCAAGUAUAUUGGUCCCUUAAGAGUUUUAGCUCGAGUGGGCCGAGUUGCGUAUUGUUUAGAUCUUUCAGCCGAGCUCAGUUUGAUUCAUAACACAUUUCAUGUCACUCAGUUGCAUAAGUGUUUAGUGGAUGACUUUGCAGUUGUACCUUUGGAGAAUAUUCAGGUGGAUGACCGUCUGAAUUAUAUUGAGAGACCGGUGGCAAUUUUAGAUCGAAAGAUGAAAACCUUGAGGAACAAGAUUAUGGAGUUUGUAAAGGUGCAGUAGUUGUACCACAAAGGGUCAGAGUGGACUUGGGAACCCGAGGAGGAGAUGAGGGAACAUUAUCCAGAGUUGUUCGAGACGGCGGACUUCAAGGAUGAAGUCUGAUUCAAGUGGGGGAGAAUUGUAAUGCUUGAUAAUUUCCAAGGUAUUUAUUUAAUUUGGAUUUAUUUAAUUGUUAUGAGUUGGGCCUUGAAUCAUUGGAUUUUUCUUAUUGGGCUUAGGGUGUUAAGUACGCAGGGUGUACCACCCUAUGUAUGCAAGGCGUACUGAUGUAGAAUGAUCGCGGGUGCCAUGCAUGUACACGCUGCGUACAAAGGAGUACGCACAACGUAUGUAUCUAGUCCCUAAAACCAUACUAUUUAGGGUUUUAGCACUAUUUAAAGAACAUUAUAACUUAAGGAUCUUCUUUAUCAGCCUCCAACUUGCCCCUAAAUAGCCUCCACAAAACCCUAGCCCAAUUGUUGAGUGAUAUUGAGCUUGGAAGGUCUUUUGAGUGCGUUUUGGUGUGUUUUGUCCCAUUUUCAAGGAAGAUAAGGUUGGAGCAAGGUGGUGGUUCAAGGAGAAUUUUAUAGAUCUGGAUUAUCUGCCGCAUUUCAAGCUUGUGCAAGGUAUAAAUCUUGAUCUUGAUCUUUAGAAGCUUAGAUCUCCAUGUUUUAGCUUUUGGACCCUUUUUGGUCCCAUAAAUAAGCUCUUGUGGAUUGUUUUCGUUUCUGAAGCUUAGAGUUGCUAGUCUUGGUGUUCUUUGGGUCCUAGAGGCAUAAAGUUGCCACCUUUGAAGCUUUAAUCCAACCAUGUUUGAGUAAUUGCCAUUUUUGUGGAAGUAGAAUGUUAUAUUUCAAGUUUGGGCUCAUUUGGGGCAUGCAAAGCCACCAAUUUGAUGACUUUAUGGGUUAAGACGUUGCAAAUGACUCAGAUUUGUGAUUGUAACUCUUGGACUUAAGUGGUUAAGAGAUUUUUGGAGAAAUGGCUUAUUGGGUGAGUAUGUUGGGCGUAUAAUUGGGGUGGAAAAUCGGACCAUCGUGUCGUGUUUUUGUCCGACACGACAUGACACGACAAAAUUUUAUGUAACACAAACACGACACGACACGAUCUCGUAUUUUUUUUAACUAACACGAAAACGAACCGGUUAAAAAACGACAAACAUGACACGACACGACAAAGAUAACAUGAAAUAACAAUUAAUGUAUUUAAUUAAUGUGUAUUUAUACAUAACACGACAAACACAAAAAACACGACAAAAAAUGUUAAAUCGUGUCAAUUUCAUGUCAAAUUUUGAACACGAACACAACACGACACGACUUCGUGUUUUUUACACUUGACACGAACACGAAUUCGAAUUUCAAUUUCGUCUCAAUUUCGUUUCGUGUCGUGUAUUUUUGUCGUGUCGUGUCAUCAAUCGUCACCCCUAGCGUACAGGCUCGUACAUGCAGCAUACAAGCCAUGCAGCGUGUAUGCUUGGUGUACAGCCGAGUACGCCUCGCGUACUCAGGCAGUUGGGCUUGGCGUUGUUUGGGCAUCGAGUUUGGCCAUUUUCUUGGACCUUGUUGCUUUGGGCCUUUUGGGCCAUCUGGAAUUAAUAUUUUGGAUUAAGGAAUUUUAGUGGGCCUUAGGCCAAGGGCCAUUUGGGGGUUUGAGCCCAAUUUGGAAAAUUGGGCCAUAAGUGGGCCUUUGUGGAUCUUUUGGUUUUGGGCCUUAUUGGUUUAUGGUUUUAGGCCUUAGUUUUGGAUCAAGCUAGGCCAGGGGUAAUAUGGUCAUUUUACCCCAAGUAUGGAUUAUUGAUUAUAGUUUGGAACCUAAGUGUUGAUUAGGUGGUAUUUUGUACUAAUAGCUCGGGGAGUCGUCAUGGUAGCAACUGGGGAUUUAUUUCUGUGAGAUUCAACAUUUGAGGUGAGUUUCCUCAAUGGGUUUAGCGGGUCUAAGGCACCAAUGCUGACCCUUAUUAAUUAUGUUAGGAUGCUAAGAGUUUGUGUGACCCUUGCAUGCGUUAUGUGUUGUUGUAUGUAUACCGGGCGAGGCUCGAUGCUAAGCAUGACAUGAGGAUUGGAACAUAUGCUAGUGUUAUGAUCAUUAUAUGUGUUAGCAUGAUUAUGUAAUAUUGAUUGUAUGUGUAUAAAGGGCGAGACCCAGUGACAUGCGAGGCAUGAGAAUAACAUAUUUGUAUACCGAGCGGGGCCCGAUGCCGGGCGGGGGCCCAAUGCAUGAUUUAUUAUGUAUGGUAUGGGGUAGUUUGGGGAACUCACUAAGCUUUGUGCUUACAGUUUUCAAAUUAUGUUUAGGGUACUUCCAGUGGCAAUGAGAAGAACUCGGGGUGACUGCAUUGCACAUACCAUAUGGAUUCUGUUUAUUGGGCACGCUCUAAUUUUUCCUGAUAUCUGACAUACUUAUUUUAUUUGGGUUGUAUGAACUAUGAUUGGAAAUACUGUUUUCACUUGAAUGAAAAAUGAAAAUUUUAGGUCGUAUUUUUGGGUUGUUACAUUGUUUGUUUUUUUGUCGGUCUUGAAUAUCAACGACUCUAUGUAAGUAAUCUGUUGUCCCUGGUUGAAGUUGAAUGUGUCCAGGUUCCGUAGGCGAAUAGUCUACAAUGUUUCGUCAUUUAUUUUCAAUCACCAUGUUAUGCAGAAUGAUACAUGCAUACAUAAUAUCUCGUAGAGUGUCCAACUCGUAUGGUCGUUCCGCAUGUUCAACUAUGUGACAUUUUGCUUUCAGAACUCUGAAAGUACGUUCCACGUCCUUACGUGCUCCUUAUUGUCUUCUCUUGAAAAAUUUGUUUAUCGGUUAUAUCUGGUGUCGAAACGCCAUCACAAACGUGGAAUAUGGUGGGUAUAUUCCAUCCGUGAGGUAAUACCCGAACUUAUACUCAUCGUCAUUUACUGUGAAAGGAGCAUCUGGUGCCUUUCCUGUCAAAAGGUCCUGAAAUAUUGGUGACUAAUGAAGAACGUUUACGUCGUUGUUAGAACCCGCAACUCCAAAAAAAGCAUGCCAAAUCCAUAAGUCUUGUGACGCAACAACCUCUAAUACUAACGAAGACGAUCCAAGAUGAUCACUUGUGUAUUGACCUUUCUAUGCCACAUGACAAUUUCUCCAUAUCGACUUUGUGCAAUCAAUGCUUCCAAGCAUUCCCGAAAAACUAUGUCGUUCUUCUUGCGCCGCAUAUAGUUAUUGCAUGUCAUUCAAUGAACGUUUGCGCAAGUAUUUGUCACUGAAGGUUUUGAUAACACCUCUCGCCAAUCUAUACAAACUUUCUCAUGCAGUUCACUCUGACAAUCUAUAAUAAUAUAAACAUAUAUUUAAUUUUUAAAACAACUGUAAUUACGGUACUUGCUUUCCAUUGCAUUGACUAUUCGUUGAAACACAUUUUUCCGCAAACGAAACCUUCUUUUAAAAUCGCUAGGUUGGUAGACACAAUUAUCCGCAAAAUAAUCGUGUACUAGACGUCUAUUCCCUUUGAUGCGUGCAAAUUAUACCUACCUAGCUACACCUAAUUUUAUAUUUAUAACCUAACUAACUUAACUAACUAAAUUGCACCUAGGCACUGUACUUAGUCAAAUUAUAGAAUAGUCGGGUAAGUCGGGUGUCGAUCAUAGGGAAGGGUUUUAACUAAUUAAUCUACCUACUAUUAAAUUAACCUAAUUUCUAAUAAAGUGGGGGGGUUUUUUUUAUCUAAUUUUGCAAGUUUAGAUGAACUUAAUUCGUAACACAAAAUUCAAUCAAUUAACAAACACUUAUGUUAGUUCAAAUCCACUUCCCCUCAAUGGUUUAUAAAUUAGUUAUGACAAUUACUGUUGGUUACCAAUUAAGAUAGUAUUAGCAAUUCAGUUCUAAAUUUACUAACAUUGAUUAAUUAAUGUAAAUCUAUGCAUUGUCACACAAUAGUUAACUUAAAAUCAAUUAUUAAAUGAAAUUGGAGCCAUGUAAGAUUGAUUUGAAAAACACACUUAUGGUCAUAAUAUGAGUUCUCUAGCACAUCCUAAUUCAAUAGUUCAAUUAUUUUUCUAAGAUUUGUUUGAUCUUAGCUCUAAUAAACUAGUGUUCACUGAAUUAUUAAGUAUUCAAAUUCAUGCAUAUUCAUAUUCACUAACUACACAUAAUAAGAAUUUAAAGCAAUCAAAUAUUAAAUCAAACAUGCUAGGUUCAAUCAAUCAAACACAAGUCAUAACCAAAAAGUAAAUCAAAACUAAAGUAUUGAAACCAUGAGUUCCAGCUUCAUCUAGCUAACAGAAGCAGCUAGAUUUAGCUGGACAUACUAGCAAACAAACAUAAACAAAUCAUAUUCAAAGACAUAUUUAAAUGUACCAAACUAUUAAGCUAAUAAUGAACUUCUCCUUCUUCCUUGGUGUUGAAAGCCAAUUCCAAACGUUUUCUCCCUCUGGAUUUUGUCUCCAGGAACCCUCCAAGUUGUCCAAAAGUCCCUCAAAGUCGUAAUGAUCAAGAGAAUAUAUAGUUAUCAUAAAAUUCACUCUCACGUCGUGAAUGAGUAUGACUCACGACGUGAAUGCAGUAGAUAUCUGUGUUCUACAAGGAUUCCUCCUCCGCGAUGCUUAUCUUCUGGAAUAGUUCCAUUCACGUCGUGAAUAGUUAUGACUCACGACGUGAAGUUAGCAGAUUACAGGGAUUUCCUCUUCUUUCAUUCUCCAAGCCUCCAAAGUUCCAUGCUUUGUCAAUUUCAGUCAUUUUCUCCCAAAAUACUUCAAUUUGGCUGCAAAGUACAAUUAAAGCUUAUAAGCAUCAUUAUUUAAUGCAAAUAACCAAAAUAUUAAUAAAAAUGUAAGUAAAUAUUGCCCAAAAACAUGUAUAAAUAUGGCAGUAUCACCCUUCUUCACGAUCUCUGUUCAACGCCGCACGUCUGGUCAGUAGUGGAGCUGGCUUUGGCGGUAACAUGUAUGUAACAUAUCGAUACAUCAUACCCACGAACAUAUCAUUCUCGUCGAUAUCAUGAUUAUAUGGAUGAAACGGGUCAAAAGGUUCCAUUUUUUUUUUGUAAAUAGAAAUAUAGAAAAUAUAUUAAACUUGAUAGAAAUGUGUAUUAGAGAGAAUUAGAUAAAUUUUCUAUGUAAAGAUAAGUUAGAAUGUGUGUGUGUGUGUAUAUAUAUAUAUAUAUAUUAAAGUAAUUUUUUUUAUUAUUCGUGACCGUUCCACAUCGGUCAGAAAGUAGACCGUUUAUCCCGUUUCGUCCCGUUAUCACCCACACACCGAAUAUCGUAACGCCAAAAAAACGUGUACCUGGAGGCGGUGUUUGCACCGUUAUACCAACAUUUUUUGAUGUACACGUCGGAUUAACGGGCACUUCGGUUGCCCAUUCCGAGUAGUCUAAAUGUCAAAAUGCAAUGAAGAAAAAGAUUCAUUACAAAUGUCAAUUAUAAGUAUGUAGAAGGAUAAAAUAUAAAAAAGUUAUUAUCUUUUGGGAUAUACACAGUAAAGUCCCAAUAUUUUCAUCGAUUUGACAAGAAAAUCCUGAACUUUAUUUUUUUGACAGUAAAGUCCAAAUUACCGGCAGUUUUUGACACUUUUACAUUUUUUUCCCGAUUAGCCGGUAAUUAGGACUUUUUUGUCAACAAAAUAAAGUUUAGGACUUUCUUGUCAAAUCGUCAAUUAGGACUUUACUGUUAAAAAAAAAAAUAAAGUUUAGGACUUUUUUUGUCAAAUCGUUGAAAAAAUUGAGACUUUAGUGUAUAUAUAAUUUUUUUGGUUAGAAACUUAAUGAUAUGAUACUCUUUACGCAUAAGAGUUAUUGAAACAUUCUCUAAUCAGCUAGAUCAUAUUGAAAUCCUUUACGUUUGCUUCUUGUUAAAUCGUUAUUUUAAUCUCAACAAACUGACAUUGAAAAAAAUUGAGAUAAUCAAGAAAGAAAGAAAGAACCAGGGUUGUGUUGGCUUUUUGCAGUCUCAAAAAUGGAGAAAUUAGAAACCUACAAAAACGAAAAUGCCCUGACUUUUUACAAAUACAAACAACACGUGCCUAGUCAAAAUGGUGUGAAUGUGGAGAAGGGAAAGAAGGACAAUUUCGUUUUUUUCGGUUUCUUAUUUCUCCAUUUUUGGGGUUGCAAAAAGCCAACACAACCCUGGUUCUUUCUUUCUUUCUUGAUUAUCUCAAUUUUUUUCAAUGUCAGUUUGUUGAGAUUAAAAAAACGAUUUAACAAGAAGCAAACAUUAAUGAUUUCAAUAGAAUCUAGCAUAUUAGAGAAUGUUUCAAUAACUCUUAUGCUUAAAGAGUAUCAUACCAUUAAAUUUCUAACCAAAAAAAUUAUAUAUACACUAAAGUCCCAAUAUUUUCAACGAUUUGACAAAAAAAGUCAUAAACUUUAUUUUUUUUGACAGUAAAAUCCUAAUUGACGAUUUGACAAGAAAGUCCUAAACAUUAUUUUUUUUGACAAAAAAGUCAUAAUUACCGGUUAACCAGAAAAAAAUGGUAAAAAUGUCAAAAACUGUUGGUAAUUUGGACUUUACUGUCAAAAAAAUAAAAUUUAAAACUUUUUAUCAAAUCGAUGAAAAUAUUAGGACUUUAUGGUAUAUAUCCCUUAUAACUAAAUAGCAACUAUAAUGUGUGGAGUUUGGUAAAUUCCGCUUGGGUUUGGUCUCUACAACCCAUUCAACCCCAAGGCUAUUCUAGUAAUUUCCCCACUAGAAGGAGCUAGGUUCCGCUGCCUUUUAAGUCUAGGUUUUCACUAUCAUCACUCUCACUCAUCGUUUUGUGGUUUCCUGUGGAGAAGAGCAGCAGAUACUCAACAACUUGCAGGCUCUAUUUUCUCAUCGCCAUCAGGUAUCUGUAGGUGUCCUAAAAUCUACGGUUAGGGUUUUGUUAGCACAGUAAUUCAUGGAAAAUGUUGAAAUCUCACUUGUUACCGUCGAUUCAAUCUUUAUUUUUUAGGAAAAAACAUCGGUUCACCAUAUCGUUAUAAUUGUUAUGAUGAUUUUGGUAUCAUCGAUGAAGUUUUAUGUGUUAUGUUUUCGUUGUAAGCUGGAUGUUUCAGGAUGUUUGAUGAUGUGUGCGAGAAUUUCAUUUUAGGGUUUAUGGUGUAUGUUUGCUUUCUUAAAUAGCGUCUACAUGUUAGCUAAUAUAAAUAGUUACCUUGAUGUUUAUAUAUUGGUUGCCACUCGGCUUCUUCAUCUUUGAAAACAAUGCGAUUAGACCCCCCUUAGGUUUGGAUCUAUGCUUAGAUGUGGAUUGUGUAAUUUUUCUCGUGAAAACUAUUGGAUAAACUUGCUUCGUUUUUUGCACCAUGGAAAGCUUAUUUAUGAUUUAAGCCUGGUUCCAACUUUGUUUGUGGGGUUAAUUUGCUACUUUUAAUGUCUAUAUGUAAAGUAUCAGUUGCUCUCUUUUAGGGUUUAUGUUUAGGUGUCUUAUUACCUCGACAACAAGCAAUGGUGAUGGGAUUAGAUCAUAUGUGAAGUUCUUUUGGGGUGCAUGGAUUAUUGCAUGUGAUGCCCUAUAAUAGUUUUAAUAUAUCAAUGGCUGUAAAUUAUCUGUCCAUAUUAUGCUAUGGUUAUCUGUCUAUUAAACUGUUUUCUUUUUGAACAUGUAAUGUGCAGAAAGAGUGCUUUGAGGAAUGCUGGAUUGAUUGGUCCCAAAUACAAAGAAGAUGAGCAAGAAGAACCCAUUUGUAUACUUGGAUGUGUCUAUAGAUGGAGAUCCUGUUGAAAGGAUGGUUUUUGAGGUCUUUAUUAUAGCUUUAACCUUCUAAGAUCUUUCUUUUAUUCUUUUUUCUGCCAGAUGGCAUUGCCACAUCACUUAUUAUCAAGCUGAAAAACUAAUUCCUUUUAUAUGGUGUUACAGCUAUUCUCAGACACUGUUCCCAAGACUGCUGAGAACUUCCGGGCACUUUGUACUGGUAAAAUGUUCAUCAUAAUUGGUAUUCUUUUUGUCAUAAGUUUAUAAAACUGGAUGCUUUUUUAAAUUUCAGGAGAAAAAGGGAAUAGUCAGAAAACCGGGAAACCCCUACACUACAAAGGAUCCUUCUUUCAUCGCAUAAUCAAAGGAUCCAUGGCUCAGGUAUGUUUUCUAUCAAUUACUUUCAUAAAUUAUAUUGUUUUUUUUUUUUUGUUUUGUUAUUUUAUUUUCCACUUAGUUUCUUCUAGUUCUGGAUGUCUUGGUGGUGGUCUGUCUUUUUAGUCGGCUAUCCUUGUUUAAUCUGUAGGAUACAGGGUUGAUGGUUCCAACUGCUUUUCUUGUGAUGUAGUUUUUAAGGUUGUAAUUAUUUGGUUGUAUUUGUAAUAUCAUCACAUUCAUUCUGAAACAUAUCAUACAAAAUUUACAAAUCCAUCUUUCUGCAAUGAUUUCUGAAUAUAAUUUCUAUAAGUGAAUUAAUUCUUUGUAUUUUUUUUUUGCAGGGUGGGGAUUUUUAUAAACGUGAUGGUAUGUACAUUUUGCCACCAAUUUUUUUUAAUUUUUGUAUACAAAAUCCAUAUCUCAUUGGUUUACUUUUGCAGGAAGUUAUGGAGAAAGCAUAUAUGGAGGGAAGUUUCCAGGUGAGAAAAGUCACUAUGUUCAUUACUUGUGUUUUCUGUUUGAAUGUUGAUGAUCAUAAAUACAUAAUAUGUCUUUAGGUAGUUGAGGAUUUCAUUUAAUUUGUUUAAAAAGUGUAUGCAAAAGAAAUUGAAAUAAACCUUUUAGCUUCUAUCUCCCCAAAAUUUCUAUAUAUGUUUAUAUUUUGAGAGAAUGGGUUUCCUUUUUGAAUUGCCUGUGAAGGUGGGGGCUGACAUUGGUCUUAUUCUCGGUGCAUGGGAGCUCAACCCACAAUGAAAUGGGCAAAUUGUAAUUGUCUUGAAAAAUGGUGGGUGUAUGAAUAUUUUGUGUGCCUUUCUUUCUAGGUUUGAAAUCUUUGGUAAAAUACAAAGUAUUUGGUUUGGAUGAUUUAUGCAGCUAGUUAAGUCUAAUGUAUAAUGUAUGCUUUAUAUUUAUGCCCAAUACAUUGUCAUGAGUUUUUUUAUCUGGCUUUUUUUCCAUGUUAAGUUCCUGGCUACCUUAUUAUUAUUAUUUUGAAUUGGUUAUAAUCAAAAUUUGUUACAUUUCAGAUGAAUCCUCCAAACUGAAACAUGAUGCUCCUGGCCUUCUAACAAUGGCAAUUGCUGAUCGUGAUUCACGUGGCUCUUUAUUUAAUGUGACAUUUGGCGCUAAUCGCCACCUGGAUAGGUUUGCUCAUCUUUGUUGUUACAAUUUUAUGUUGGACAAAUUGAUAGAAAUAGCUACAUACCUUACUUUUGUUAUGGUUACAUAUUGCUAUUAUUGAUAAAAAAAAAGUGUUAAGUAUGUUGCUAUUACGGGUAAAAAAAUAAAUACACUGCAUGUAUUGGUAUUUCCUACAUGUUAUCUUUUUAUAUUUAUCUGAAAAGUUAGAGUUUUAGCAACAUUAACUGUCUAACUUUUGAUGGAAAAGGAAAUUUAAGUGUUGGAAAUGGAAUUUCUUGAACAGGAAGUAUGUUAUUUUUGGAAAGCUUGUUCAAGGACUUGAUGUAUUGAAGAAGAUAGAAAAUGUGGGUGAUGAAGAUGGAAUGCCAACUGUGACAGUGAAGAUCAUUUAUUGUGGGGAAGUAAACGAGAGUGAGAAUCAAAGCUCUGGUAUGGUGGAUAAUUAUUGCAUUUUUAAUGACAUAAUUGUUUGUUUAUUUUUUUAAAAUAAAGUCUCUGUUUUUGAUGUUUUUAUAGAUAAGAAGGCAGCCAGCAAGUUGAAAAGUGGGAAAGAUGUUUCUUCAGAGGUUCACAGCCAUGAAGUGAAGCGGAAGGGAAAGCACAAGAAAUCUUCAAAAGAUAAAAGGAAGAAAAGAAAAAGAUAUUCUUCAUCUGAUUCAGACAGUUCAUCUGACAUGGAAUCUGACUCAUCUGAUUCGGAUAGUGAUUCCGACUCUGAUGAUUCAUCCUCGUCAUCAUCUGAUGUCAGCUCUUCAAGUGAUGACAGGCGUAAGAGAAAAAAGAGAUCCAGAAAGGAUCGACACAAACGUGGAAAAAGAAAGGACAAAAAACGCGAGAAGAAGCGUAGGAGACGCGAUAAGAAAUCCAAACGUAAAUCAAAGAGGUUGGUAUGGUAUUUUAAUUUUAGUUAAACCUUAAAUAAAGUAAUGUUUUAUUCUUUAUAAAAGUUAUUAUAUAUCAUUUUGUAGGGUGUCUGGUAGCGGAAGUGAGAGUUCAAGUGAAAGCGAACAUGCGUCUGAGGACAAUAAUGGUGAUGUCAAAAAGCGAAACCGGAAACAUAAUAAUAGUAAUAAUAAAUCUCCUACAGCUGAAUUUGAAGAUGGUAAAACAGGAGAUGCAUUUGCAUUUGAUGGACAUGUAAAGGAGGAAGAAGGUGAAUACCCGAAAGAAAAUGGUGGGGACCGCCCAAGCAAUGGUGUUGACCUGGCGAAGGCUGAUAUAGUCGAUGACCAUCUCGGAAACUCUAGGUUCAAUCAAAUUUAAUAAAACUUUAUUAUUAUUAUUAUUAUUAAAUUCUUUCUAAUCUUAUUUUUUUUUUACUAAACAGAAGUAGAAGCAAAAGUCCUCCUCGAAGGGAAUUGAGCAAGAGUAUGAGUAUUAGCCCAAGGAGGAGUCAAAGUGUUAGUGGGACCCCUCCUAGACGGGCCCCAUCACGUAGCCCGGUCAGAAGCGAAAGCAGCAGCAAGAGUCCGGUUAGAAGCAUAAGCAGAAGUCCAGUGAGGGGCAAAAACGUCAGAAGCAUAACUCCCUCACCAUCACCUCCACGAAGGAGUGUUUCUAGAAGCCCACUGCGAACAUCGUCUAGAAAAUCCUCACGAAAAUCAGUAAGCAGAAGUCCGGUUAGAUCUUCCAGAAGAAGCUACAGCAGAAGCCCAGUCAGAUCAUCUAAAAGAAGCUUGAGCAGAAGCUCUGGUAGACCGCCUUUAAGAAGAAGCCCUAGCAGGAGUCCGGUCAGACCGCCUAUGAGGGGUGGUCGCCGGAGCUAUUCCAGGAGUCCGGUAGGUGGGCGUAGGGCGGCUAGGUCACCGGAGAGAAGCUUGUCUAGAAGCGCUUCACCUGAUGGCUCUCCCAAACGUAUCAGAAGAGGACGCGGUUUCAGUAACCGAUUUUCUUACGCACGCCGAUACCAUUCUCCCGAUCGCUCCCCGGUCAGAUCUUAUCGCUAUAGAAGUGACCGCGACCGUGACCGUGACCGGUAACAAACUAACAGCUAGCAAUUUUAAAUUAAGUUUUUUAAUAUAUUUAAUAUAAAAACAAUUAAACCAAUAUUUUGGUUUGUAGUUAUUCAAGCUAUAGAAGGCGCAGCCCACUGAGAGACAGAAGUCCACCAAGGUAUUUUGGAGUAAUAAUGGAAUCUUUUUUUUUGGUGAGAAAGUGAUUAUUUGAUUGUUAAAUUCAAUUAUUUACACAGGUACAGAGGGAGAAGAAGCAGGACACGGAGUCCGAGUGUGUCCCGGAGUCCUGUCCCUGUGCGGUACCGCCGGCGCUACAGUCGGAGCCGGUCGCCGGUGGAGACAUCAAGGUACAGGCCAUCACCGCCAGUGGAGAGGAGGAGGGCGCCACGCAGCAGGACCCCGCAUUCUCAAAGUAGGAGCCCGUAUGAACGUAGGUCCUCUCCAUCACCAUCUCCGAGAAGGAGCGUGAAGUCAAAGUCAAAGUCAAAAUCGCCAUCGAGAUCAAGGUCAAUGUCGAGGUCAAGAUCUAGGUCGUCUUCUGGAAGCCCACCUGGGAAGAAAGGACUGGUGUCGUAUGGAGAUGGUUCUCCAGACAGUCAGAAGUGAGAAGAGAAGAGAAAGAUCUUACUUUUGAGGGUGAAAUGAUUUAUAGACUUGGUAAUUGGUACACUAUGUAGGGUGGGUGUGUUUUGAAUAAUUUGACUAUUUCUCUUGUAUUUCUUUCUUCUUCUGUGGAGUGACUGUUGAGGUGCUGCUAGACUAGUAACGAUGAUUGGAUAUGUGUUUGUUUUUAAGAGGUUGGUUAGACUGAGGGGAAUGGGACCGAGUAUCAAUUAUGUUAUGUUUUAAAAAGCCUCUUCUGUUUUUAUCUUUAUUGUUAUGGUUUGCUCUUUGAUCAGUGCGACUUGAAGGUAGUUUGUGCAUUUAUAUAUGUAUUAACAUAAUCUUGUGUGCUUGAAUUGAUACAUUAUAUUAUAAUCUUUUCAAAGAAUAAGCUAACAAGUUAAAAGGAGGGUCAUCAAGAUGUAUUGAAUUAUUAAGUAGAUUGAGAGAAGAUUAUUUACCAUCUCUUUAAGACCGGUAAUAAUUGCGACAUAUGUAUUGUAUUUAGUUAUUUAUUAUUUAUUAACCGAUAAAAUUGGAAUAAGUUACCUAAAAUUUAGGGGAAAAUAUGAUUAAUUACGUAAGUUCAGGGGGUAUUUUGGUUUACGGCAACAGCAGGCGACGUGUAGAAGAAGAAUCUCGGGAACCCUAGCAGAGGUUUGUUUCUCAAUCCUACGCCGCUACGACCAUUGCCGCUUUCUCCACUCCACGAUGAUAACAAAGAAACAUCCGUCGCCGUUUCUCAAUCCAACGGUAAUAUGAUUUACUUGUUCGUUAUUAUUUGAAUCUAUUAAACACAAGAUAUAAGCCGAAGCAUUUUGAUUGAAAUAAGACAGUAACCAAUAAAUACUAAAAGCCAAUCUCUUUUCUGUAGCUUGGUAACAUUUGUAUUACUAAUAAAUGAUGAAUGUAUUAUUGAUUGUACUUGGGUUUUUGAUUGACAGGGUAACAUUAAUGAUAUUGAUCGUAAUGUUCUAUGCAAUGUGUUACACAUCAAACAAUGCUCCAAAGCCUCCCAAUAUAUGGUGAAGUUUACAAAGCAAAGGCAUUGGAAUCAUCAAACAAGUAUGUCUCUACCUUUUAUAAGCUUCUUCAUUUUCAGUAACAUUAUAGGAAUUAGACACUCUUUCUUUGUCACCACUGCAUUUGUGAUGGCAUUGGCAGCUGGUAAGCUUUGGGACACCAUUUCUGAAUGCAUCUCCCAAAUUCAAUCUGAUUGUGAUGAUGAAGCUAAAGAGAGGGCACUUCAAACCCUAGUUUCCAUCACAAAAGCAAGCCCUCCACACAGAAAUUUAGUCAUGCAGAAUCAGGAAGCCAUCCCCGCUCUCCUCUCCCUGCUCAAAUCCUCCUCCCGUGCUCUUGAAAGACUCUCACUUUCCAUCCUCUUCAACCUCUCAUUAAACCCUAAUCUCAAAUCCACCCUUGCUGACAUGGCAACCAUUCAACACCUCAAUACUGUGAUCCUGUCUCGUGGGUCACUCGAGUCUAGCAAACUAGCAGCUUCUUUGAUAUGCAGCCUGGCAAUGCUAGACAAGAAUAAAGCAGUGUUUGGGGUAGCGAAUACUAUUCAAGCAUUGUUGAAGGGAGUUUCAAGGCCUAAUAGUCCUGUGACACAUCACCUUCUCAGCUCACUUGCUGAGUUGGUGCACUUCCAUGGGAAUUGCACAUUGGCUGUUAGAUCAGGUGCAGUUGGUGUUCUCCUGAGAAUAGUUGAGAACAAAGACAGUGAAGAUCUUUGUGGGACUGCUCUUAGUAUUCUUGGGCUUCUUGCUAAGUUUGAUGAAGGGCUAAAAGCUUUGACAAAUACACCUAGUAUUGUGAGUAGAAUGCUUGAUGUGUUGAAAGGUAGGUCCAUGUUGAAUAAUGAAGGUGCAGCCGAGGUACUUCUUCGUGUUUUUGAUGAGAGUGAAGAAUGCUUGAGAGAUGCUAUCGGAUUGCCUGAUUUCAUGUAUACAUUAGCUGAGCUCUCGGUGAGAGGAUCAACGAGAGCUCGGGAGAAAGCUUCUCUACUGUUGAGAAAACUUGAGGCUAAUGAAUCAUAUGUAGAUGAUGAUCUGGUGUUCUUGAAAUGGUAAGGUAGGAUGCGUGUCUUAAGAAAAGUAACAUAAUAAGAGCUUUUGUUUGUUUUGUAGCACAUGAGUGUGCACAUUAUUAGGUCCUCUUUGAAGGUUUAGGUAAUGAAUAGAUGGGUUUGGUGUUAAAAAAGGCAUGGAGUUUAUAGGAUUGAAGCCAUGACUCACAAAACUACGAACUACAUAAAAAAUGAAUUUGAGAGUUACAUAAAGCCAUAAAGUUAAAUUUAUAAAGAAAGCAUAACUAUCUUGCAUCCAAAUACAACAACAACAACAAAUAAACCCAAAUCCCAUAAAGUCUUGUGAGGUAAGUGGGAGGUUUGAUGUAGGUGGUCUUAGUGUCUUGCCUCCACCCGUGGGUAGAGAGGCUACCUCUAUAGGAGACUUUCGCCAUGAUCAAGGAUGCACCAUACAUGAGCAAAUAAAAGCAAUAUACAAUUAAAUAUACUAAUACUAGAAAUAGUACUAAUUGUAAAAAUGAAAUAACAUAAGACGAUAAAUACUUAAAUGCCUAAAUGAUAAUACAAGAAACAAAACUUAUGCUACUACACUAACCUAAUUCUCCGUCUCCACUCCUACCUAUGUGAGGUCUGUAGAAGGUGCCAACUCCUUCGUGUCUAACCUCACACUAUAGUUACGUUGCGUCCUCGGUCGACCUCUCCUCUUCGCCUUACCGUAGAUGUGACGCCUCGAUCCAUUGAGUACCGUCAUCUAUCCUUAGUACACUUUAUUUUAAAUACAACUAAGAUAAUACCUUAGAUUUCAUCUUCAUCAUGGUUUAACAAAAUUACAUAAGCAAAAGUGCAUAAAAGAAAAACUAUUUUAACCGUUUAUAAUUCAUCCAAAAUUUCUGUUAAAACACUAACUACUUGUGGUCCUUCUUCUUUCCUGAGAUACAUACAUGAAUACAUAAGCUUUAAGUUUAGUGAGUAUUUUGGUUUUAAUAUUUAGCAUAAACAUUUGAUGGAAAAAUAACAAUUAAAUGCUUGAAAACAUUAAUUUGAGAUCUUAUAGCUACAUGUAAGUAGGCCCAACUUCUGGGAGGUUUGCUAACCUUGGGAUUCAUAUAAGGCUGUCCCAUAAGGUCCGUUUUUAAGACGUCCCUUCAUCCCAUACCCAAUGCGUUGGGUUACUUGGGUAUUUAAAUGACCGUACUUAACAUGAAUAAAACUUUCAUGCUAACUUCAUAAUAUGUUGUUAAAUGUCUUUGAAAAAUCAUUUGAGCAAGUGAACAUGGCAAAUAAUUUAAAUGCAUUGAACAUAUACGUAGCAUGUAUGUAUCCCAUUAAAUCACAUAAAUAUACUCACCUUUCUUUGAGCUUUUAGGCUUCUUUUUAAUCUUUUAAGUCACCACCAAGCUUGAUAGUGUAUUCUAGGAUGAAAAAAAAUGCUUAACUUCACUUGCUAUGUCUAGUAAAAUUGUGUGCAUUGCUUGCUUGUUCUUUAGGCCUAAAACAUAGUACAUUGUUGAUGAGAUGAUUACACCUAGUGUACUUGUUGUACCUCAUCUCCUUAGAAGCUUACACCUCAAGCCUCUAGCUCUUCUAUGUCAUCUUCCAGCUUAGCUUAAUCUCCUUAGAAGCUUACACCUCAAGCCUCUAGCUCUUCCAUGCCAUCUUCUAGCUUAGCUUAAUCACUCAAAAUCUAGGCAACGCUUAUCUCUACUUGUAUAUGCUAGCUUGGUUACUACUUUUAGCCUUGAUUUGUCAUGCUAAGCUUUGGUUUACUUGUAGCUGGUGUUGUGGUACUUGUAAGCAUAUGGUAAGCUACUUGUGUGCUUGCUUAUUUUCAACUUUUCUUUUUACAUAAAAUUUGCAACAUUCUUCUAUAACAACUAUUCUUAAAGUGUCCCUUAUGUUCUUUUAUAUUACAAGGGUGUUAUGGUAGAUGAUUGCCUCCUCUUGACAUAUCUAAACCACUAAAAUCUUUCUUUCCUCGAAUUUUCGGUGGUUCACGCAACUCCUAACUUAUUUAUGAUUAUAGCAUUCAGUAUUUUCUCCAACAUUGUUGUAAAGCAUAAACACUGAAGGAUCCUCAUUUCAGAAAUUUCCAUCUUCCUCUCAUGCUCUUUUUUUUCCGGCUAACAUUUGAAGCAACUACCACCUUGUAUCUUGCAUCCAAAUGAUGCCAAUGGUUGUUUUAAAACAAUUUUGGCUAAGGGUGUAGACUAGACAAAGCAAAGUAGAAGGAGAAACGAGGUUUAUUGGGUAGGGUUUAACAUGGACUAGGCUUAUAUAGACCACACUUUUAUCAUGUUAGAUAGUAGAUAGUUUUUUAUAAUGAUUUCUUAUGCAUCUUUAGCGUGGUCGUACAAUUAUGAAUAUUUAUAAUAGUUGGAUAAAUUUAUAAAAUAUGAAAGUGUUGUGGCAAAAUCUAGAGAUUUGAAACAUGUGAACCUACAUGUUUUAGACAUGACACUUUAGUGUCUUGUUUAGGGACCUAUUCCGUGUAAAUGCAUGUAAUUAUCACAUGAAGCUUGCAAAUUGAACUUAUUUUACUAAAUAUUAGGUGUAGACUACCAGGAAAGAAAUUUAAAGCCCAAAUUUGCUUGCCUUUUCUUUCAUUUCCUUUAUCGUGAGUUCGUGACCUUUCCCCUUUAUUGUGCCCUCGACAAUCGACAUAGGACAUCGCCGAGUGGUGCGUUUGCUAUCGUAUCUUUCGAUUGCACCUCAACUACACCUAAAACAACAAGAAUUUGUUUAUCGCAUUGAUAUUAAGGUAUCUUUUUCGAAUACUUAACCUUUAGAUCUAGUUUGAUCCCAAAUCGAUUAUUCCAAAAUUUUACUUGUAAUGCUUUAGUUAGGUAAAUUAUUUUGCAACCGGAAAGAAUUGGCUAGGGUUGUUUGGAAUAAAUGUUUGUGUGCUUCCGAUUACGCUAUCAAUAUUUCUUUACAUUUUUGUUAAUAGGAUUAAUGUCAAUGAACUUAACUUGUAUAUGGAAUGUCAUAAUUAUGAUUUCCAUUCCAUGAUAAACAAUGUUAGGGCCUUAUUAAUGAGAUAAUUCUUUAAUUAAGGUAGUUAUUUAAUUACUUAGAAGCAGUGAUGAUAGUUUGUUAAGCUUUGGUGUCAUGGAUGGUGUCACUUAGAUCAUGAGAGAGAUAGAGAGAAGGGAAGGGGGGGGGGGGGAUCUUAUGGGCCAUCAUUUGUACCCAUCUAGUAGAAUGACGAGAGAGUCGAGUUCCAUAGGUCUUGGAUAUUUCUUCCAUUUCAUAGUGGAUGAUAGUGGGUAUCUUACUAUGAUUUCCUUCUUUGUAUCUCCAAAUUAGCAAAGGGUUUAAAGGCAUUUAGCUACAACUCAUUGCCUUAUUGUGGUUGUAAAUAAUAUGUCCAUCUUUUUGCACAUGUUAUGCUUUUUUCGUAAUCUAGUGGGAAAUUGUGUUAGAUCUUUUGAUAUCCUCGUUUAUAUAGAGGGACACGUUUGAGAACAUGAACCAUAAAUUUUGGAUAUAAUGAUAUUAACUAUGUUGAGACAUCUUUUUGGUUUUAAGAUGAAUUUUGGUUUUACUCCCACCAUUAUCCCAUUUUCUUUGGUUUUUCCUCUCAUUUUUGGACCAUUGACUCUAGUCGUAGUCAAAUCUCAUCUUUACCAUUUUAUAUGGACCUUGUUGCUCAAACCUCAUCUUUAAUAUCGCUAUGCGGCGGUGUUUGGGAUUGCUUUUCAAAACAACCUAUUGACUUAUUGGCUUUUUGAAAAGCCAAUAAGUCAAAAAUAAUGUUUGGCAAACUCAAAAGCAUUUUUCAAAAUAACUUUUCCAUUAGCUUCAAAAAGGAGAUUUCAAAAAGCAGGUAAAACUUGGCUUUUUGAAACUCCUUUUAGCUUUUUAAUCAUAAUAGCUUCAAAAAAGAGAUUUUAAGCCUAACAUUUUUUUUAAACUUAUUGCCUUAUUGGAUUUUGCCAUCUCAAAAGCUAAUCCAAACACUUUUUUAAGUCAAUAAGCACUUUUUCCCAACAACACUUUUGGAAUUCAAAAAGCAGUCCCAAACACCCCCUUGUUCCAACCAUGUGUUGUCAAUGCACCAAGAUCUUCAGUUUUGAUCUGAGCCUUGGCCUACAUUAGUGCUGGCUUUGACUAUUAAGUUCUACCUGAGUUGGGUGUCACUAGCAUUUUCUCAAGAGAUUACUUGAUCUUUCAUUAUUCUACCUUGGUGUCUUUUAGCAGAGCAUCAGAGUUUUCUCUAUUGAGUCAAGAAAUUCUAAACCUUUUAUAUUGCUGGUCGCCUAUAGAUGUUUUUUCCAAUCCAUGACUUGUAAACUACGGCGUUCUCUGUUCUUAUAGAUUUGGUCCUUGAAUUUUAUGCAAGAAAUAUUUUAUAAUGCUUAUUUAAAAAAGAAAAAACUAAUGUAAUGCAAUGUUUAGAAGAGGAAGAAUGAGCAUGGUGGGAGAUUGGAUUUGUGGGUCAUGCAAUCACUUAAACUUUUACUGGAGAGAAUCAUGCAGGAGAUGCAAAGAGCCACGAUCCCAAGACAUGAAUGCAGCUGUGAGUGCGGGCCCCAGGGUGUUUGCUUUUAGGCCCGGGGAUUGGUUCUGUGAUGUUGGGAUUUGUCAGGCUCACAACUUUGCAAGCCGAAGAUUCUGUUUCAAAUGUGGUGUAAUUAAAAGCAUACCAUCUUUUGGUCCUACUGUAGGACUAGGAUACUACCCUACCCUUCCCCUUCCCCCUCCCCCUCCUCCUUUCUUGAGUUUCAGUUUCAUGAAUCCCAGAAUCAGCCAACGAGGCUGGAAGCCUGGCGACUGGUUUUGUGGCAGGGGGUUUUUUUUUUAAUUUUUUUUUUUUUUUUUUUUUUUUUAUUUUAAAUAUUUUUUUUUUUUUUAAAUAUANUUUAUCUUUUUUCAUAUUUUUUUUUUUUUUUUUUUUUUUAAUUAAGGUCAUAAUCAUUAUUCAUUAAUACUAGUUGAUUCUCAUUCAUAUAAUCAUAUGAUAUGAUAUAGGCCUGGCUGUAAUGCACACAACUACGCUUCCCGAAUGAUAUGUUUCAAGUGCAAGUCUUCUAGGGAAUUGGUUACCAAUGUUUCUAAUUGAUUCCUUCCUUGCAUUCCGAAUUCUGGUAAAGAUUUUUGUUUUUUUUUUUCUUAUGAAUGUGUGUGUAAUUUAUGUCAUGUUUUUCAGGUCCUAUGGUUAUGCUAUCACCUCUGUUAGGAGAGAGGGAGAGUCAGAGUUGUUGUUUUUUCGUUCAGAUCUUGUUAUAUCUUAUGUGUUUCUUUUUAUUUCUGUUGGUUGCAUUGCAAUGGAGUUUGAAUCUGGUAUGAAGUUUACAUGAAUUAAUGAAGGAUGUAAUUAUAAGUGGUUUCUUCAGUUUGAAUGUGAUGAUUAUGGAUGGAUGGAUGGAGUUAUAAGAUUUUUGUGGCAAUUUGGUUGGAUCAUAUGUGUAGUUGUAAGAAAAGUUCAUUCAACUGGGUUGUUGAGUUUCAUACACAUUCAUUUGCAAAUGGUAAUUUGACAAGGAUUUUUUUUAAUAUAGCUGAUUUUGGAAAUUUUGGUCUUCAAAUGAUUUUUUUGUUUUUUGUUUUUGUUUGUUUGUUUGUUUUUUUUUUUUUUUUUUUUUUUUUUUUUUUUUUUUUUUUUUGUUUGUUUGUUUGUAAUGGUCUAUGUUCCAAAUAAAAUGACUUUUUUUUUUGUUUCCUAAGUUAUACCUGAUUUUUGCAGUUUUAUCACAAAAAUAGUCAUUUUCUUGGUACGAGGACCAAAAUCAUUAAAAAGAGGAUCAAAAUUGCAAAAAAAAAACUCACCUCAAAAUUGCAAAAGAAAACUCACAGACCAAAAUUACAAUUCAAAAUUACAAAAAGAGGACAUACUACCUAAUUCAUUGAUGAUUAAAGUGGGACAUUGUUUAGUCGUAUUCAAUAAUAUAUAGAAGUAGGAUCGGGUGAUGACUUGAAAAAUAGUGAGGAUUGCGAUGACAAAUCUUGGAUGUUUGUUGGUUUAAAUGGGUGGUUGAGAUAAAUCAAAAUUAAUAAAUAAACAAAAAAAAAAUCGUCCAAUGACAUUUUUGUAAAUAAAAUCAAGUUAGGAUCACUUUCCAAUUAAAGGGCAAUGUCUGGGGGUCAUAACUGUCAAAGGAAAUAAUAAAAUUUUGUUGCUGAAAUGAACUCCACGCACAAAAGGUGCGUCGCCAACUCUAUGGAUCUUACUCUUGAACACGUUUCGCCACCAGGUUUACUUGGGUUUAUUUAUUUAUUUUUAUUUUUCAUGGAUCUUACUCUCGUAUGAACUUGUAUAAGUAGUCCCCGGAAAUGUAUUGACCUGAACUUCAUGAAUAUGGCUUCGUAAUCUGGUUUGGAUGGGUUCUAACGGGAAAAAAACAGGUCUUGAACAAGCUGUUGUUUCGAGUUAAAAUCUGAAAAUUUAACCUAGUUGUUUAAUUAUAUGUUUAAGGUGAAUAUCCCUAUUUAAUCUUGAUUGUUAUUCUUAGGAGUUUUGAAAGGUGACCGGGUGCGAAUGGGUUCUGGUUUCAGUUGGAGGUUUACUCUACUACUUGAGGUGAGUUUCUCACUACACUGUGUAAUGUUGUGCAUUCUUUGCUUUAGCUCGUGUGUGUUAUAGUAUGUUUAUACGGGUAACACUAGAUUGGGUUAGUAUCUAGUGGGAGUAUGUUAUUUGUUCAUGUAUUGAAGAAUAUGUAUAGAAGGGAUCGACGUAUCCGAGCAGAGGAUCGGGCAUAGCCAGUGUGUCCCAAGGGGUCGACGAAUUGAGCAAGGGGGAUCGGGCAUGACCAAUGUGUCCCAAUGGGUUCGGGUGAUCGGGCUUAUCCAAUGUGCCCCAAUGGCUCGAUGUAUCGAGCAAAGGGGAUCAGACAUAACUAAUGUGUCCUAGUAGGUGUAUGUUGUUAUUGAUUCGCUCUUUGACAUGCAUACGUGUUUGUGUGGUUGAUAUUGUUGUUAUAUGUGUAUUAAGGGUAGAGCUUGUAUGAUAUAGACAUAUAGUAUUGUGUAUGUGUGAAAUCCCCUAAGCUUUGUGCUAUUCCCUUUUCCCUUAAAAAAAUACCAUUUCAGGAUUAACAUGUACUUAGGAUGGCAGGGUGUGAUAGUACACACCGGCUCAGUACGGAUUGAUGAAGUUUUCAUAUUACCUUGGAUUAUGUUUCUUUGAUUUUGGAAUUUAUAAUUAACAAAUGGUUUUUGAAAUUUAUUGAUCUUGGGAUUAUGGUUUUAAAACUUAUUUUGAAAAAAAGUCAUGGUUUUGAAUAUACUUAUAUUGUUUUUAGAAGUUCAAAUUUAUUGUAAAUUUUAGGAUGUUACACAAUUGUAUUGGAUUGAGUGCGAAAUUUGAAAAUCCAAUUGGAUUACUUGAAGGCAAUGUUACUUUGUUAGUCUUAUUUAGCAUAAUUGUGUGCGGUUUUAUUUUUAGUUAUCGUAGUUAUAUUUGGUUAUUCGAUAGAAAGAGAUUAGAAUUGGUUGGAUAAUGGAUAACUACUGAAUUAAACCAAUAAAAAAAUAUCCAAUAGAUAGAAUCGAUCUAAUCCAACAUCCAAUUGGAUCGAUUUGGUUUGAUUUUUUUAUGAUGAAUUGGAUUGGACCGGUUGACAAAUCCAACAUCUAAUGGAUGAUUAGAUUGGAUUGGUUCCAUCGAAAUCCAUUGGAUUUGAACCGCUGAUCACCCAUAAUUUGGUUAUUAUGUUUUUUUCAAUCAGCUGCUGGAACAUGAUGGUUCUAAAAACAUUUUGCAAAAAGGUAAGAAUCAGCCAUAAAGUCACAUUACCUUUCAUUGUUGAUGGUUGUGGAAUGUGAACUACUUUUUAUUAAAUUAUAAAUUAUCUAAGGAUGAAACUGCAUUUCCUUUCUUCAUAUCACUAUAACACAUUACAUUAUUUUUGUAUGUUUUUAUAACAUCAAAUCUUUGUUGUGAAACAAGGUUUAUUAUUAACAUGAGUUGGUUUGAGCUUUAACAAAAUUUUAAGAUAAUUAACUAUUUCAUACAAAUGAUUGUUCCAUGGAUUAUAUCAUUAUUAUUAUUAUUAUUAUUAUUAUUAUUAUCAUUAUAAAUCUUAUAAUAGAAGUCACUUGUGACAUAUAUCCUUAUUAUUAUCAUUAUCAUCAUUAUAAAUCUUAUAAUAGAAGUCACUUAUGACGCGGUUCAAGAUAACUCCCUAUAUUGAAGUGCAAAUAAUAAAGAUACGAAUGAUGGAUGUUACGUAAUAAGAUUAUAAUUUGAAAUAGUAUGCUAGAAAGUAACAUGACAAACAAAUCCUGAAACCGUAAACAACAAACAUACAAAAGCCAGUUUGGUAUCAAGAACAAGGUUGGACCGAAACCGUAAACAACAAACAUACAAAAGCCAGUUUGGUCCAAAACCCGAAACCCGAUUUAGUACCCGGAACUGGACCGGACCGAACCCCGACCCGCUACACCUAAAAACGGUCCAGUUCUCGGGUAAGGUAAUUCAUGGUUUUCGGUCUUCAGGCUGGUCCGGUUCGGGUUCUGCUCGUUGCUCUAUAUUGAACCAUAUUAAUUUGAAACUACGAAAACUCUUCGGCUUAUAUUUUAAGUUUCUAUUUGGUGUGUUAGCUGAAAAAACUAGUUUUUAACUUAUAAGCUAGUUUAUCCAUAAACUAUCUCGGAUAACUUAGACAAAACUGCAAAAUUGGUCCUUGUGGUAUGCAUUUUUUCUGAGGUUUAAUCCAAACCUCGAUUUUUUUGGAUUGGUGGUCCUUUUUGGUCCCUUGAAAAAUUGAAAAGACUAAAAUGCCCUUCUGAACAGUUUAUAUGUUAUUUUCUAUUUAAUUUAAAAUUAUAUUAAUUAAAAAUAUAGGGCCCACCUCUUUCUUUCUUUCUUUCUUUCUCUCUCUCUCUCUCUCUCUCUCUAUAUAUAUAUAUAGCCAUUUGGGUUUGUCUUUGACAAACAUCUAAUAACAUCUUCAUAAAUUCAAGAACACUCAAGAACAUCUUAUGCCAUCACCACCAUUCGACCACCGUCCUCCACCACCACUGUCUGCCACCUCCAUCUCCACCUGAACUUUUUAUACCACUUUAUAUCCGCCUAAAAUCAUCCCAAAAACAAAAAUCAUACACAAAAUAUGGGUUUGUUCUUGAGUUUCCCCUUAAAAAUAAUCACUAGAUCUGAUGCCUCAUCAAGAGCUCAUGAACACACACACCCACCCACAUUCAAGAACACAUUCAUGAACCCCAUAUCUGAUGAGCACACAAACACAAACACACAUUAUAUCAGAUCUGAUGAAGGGUUUUUGGAUGAACACAUUCAAGAACAAAUUUUUGAACCCUAGAUAUAAGGAACACACGAACAAAAUCAGAUCGAGUUCAUGGGUUCUCGGGUUCUUCAUCCAAAAAACAAAGAUCUAAAACCAAAACGAACAUUUGACCCCUCAGUGGCAGAUUUCUUCGUCCCCAUCUUCCAAAAACCCAUAUUGUAUGUGUGUAUUUUGUGACAUCCCCGAUUUCACGGCCACAAAAGACCGAUUUGAUUAUGAUUAUUUAAAUCAGAAUAUUCUUUUCAAAAGAGUAAUAAUGUGGAAUUUGUUCCAAAAAAUAUGACAAUAUCAUUAUUAAAGCAUUUCCGAGGAAAUGUAUUUCAUUUAUAUUUAAAAACCUUGGGAUGUCAUGGUCAAUACAACAACAUAAGCAUAAAACGUAAUAUUACAGGCCUUACAAUAGUUUAUUAUUCUAUUGGCCUAUUCUCCUUUAAAUCUCACUCCAAAUUUAAACUCAUCACACCUAUGCUCUUACGCUGCUACCUGUGAAACAAAGAAACUGAGUGGGUUAGGCUUCGGAAAGCCUGAUGAGCACAUAGGGUUUUCAACCCACAAUAAUUAAAUUUAUUAAUUUCAUCAAUCAAUCAACUCGGUUAUCCGUUCCCGUUAUCCUCACUUUUUGUCCCUAAAACAUCUAAAUUAAGGGACUUAGCCUAAGGAUUUUUCAUCGGGGUGACAGCACUGCAUAGGGGAUUCCUCAACAAUAUAUGUUAAAAGGCAACCAUAGGGGAAUGGAGUACAUCUGGUGAACAUUUAGUUCAAAAACACCUACAUGUUUCGAGCCUACCACCGUUCCACUAGACUGUCUAGAAUAGUUUGUGGUCGUCAUCUAUACUCCGCUAGAUGACUGGAUCAUCUUAAACACUCUAGGCCUAUCAUUAUUUAUUUUAUCAUCUAUAUCAUCUACCCAUCUUUACCCUUUAUAUUUAUAGGUACAAAAUACAUACAUAGUUUAAAUCGAAUAAAACAUGUAUAUUUUGUUCAUCCAACAUACAUAUCAAGAACACAGAUAAUAUACACACAUAACACGUAAUUUUUAUUAAAUACUUCAUAUUUAUGUAUAAGAUGAAAAUAACUAUGCACUCACUUGACUAGUUAGUGGUUACUAACUAUGUUCUUAAUCGUCGUUAUAUCACACUUUCUUUAUUUAUGACUCCUUGCUCGAAAAUUCUGAACUCUAAUUUCAAAAUUUCUGGCCCUUCUUUAUAUCGAGUAUAUCUUUGGCUAUUAUUGUUUUCUAUCAUAAGAAUUGCUCAAAGGAUACCUCUAUUUAUAUAAAGGAUUUUUGAAUCGCCCGUACAAUAUCAAAAGAUUAGUCACCCAAAAAAAUUACACGUAUAACUUCAAUAAAUUAGAUGUGUACGAACAUACUUGAAAGGUUAACACAUAUUCUUCUGAUAUUGACUCUAAAUUAGAAGGUGUAUUAUUACUUCUCUUUUGUCAACACAUAUCAUUUUAAUUAAUAAAAUAUGUACGACAUGUAUUAUAUUUCUUACAGGUAUGUUGGUUUGCAAUUUACAAAUCAAUUAUAGUUACAUUUAUGGUCCAUAAGUUAUUAUUGUAUUAACACAAUAUAUCAUUCAAGUUACACUGUAGUCCCUCAGCUGCAUGGAGCCCCUAAUAAGAAUAAAGAACAAGUAAGAGACGAUCACCCACUUAUUUGUUUGGAUCGGUCCGAUCCAAUCAAAUUAAGUAAAUUCAACUUAAUUCCGGUUUACAAAACAUUGAUUCAAAUAGUUCAAACUAAAUUCAAAUUCGGUAUGAAUUAAUCAAAUUACAAUUCGAUUUUCAAGAGUCGGAAUGUUUUAAAAUAGUUAUAAUUUGAAUAUUAGCUGACUUUAUAAAAGAAAUAUAAUCAAAUGGUUAGUUGUAAAUUAAAAUUUAUAAACUGUUAAGGAAAAUAUAUUUUGAUUCAUUAGAUAAAAAAAUCUUGAAAAAAAAAUACAUAUUAAGGUUUUUAUUAGGAGAGUGUUUCUAACCUAUUUAAAAAACAAUUCAGUAAAUUAAUAAAUAAUUAAAAGUAUAUAUUAAAAAUUAAAAUAUAUAUAUCUAUUCUAAUAAAUGAAAGUGUUUUUUGUCACAUGUUACACUCUCACUCAAUUUAUCAAAUGUCAUUUUGUGGUUAUUUUGAAUUAAUUUAUUUUUCCAAAUGUCAUGUUAUGUUUUUUUUUUUAUUUUAAUAAAGUUCACAUAAUAUUUAAAUGUAAUAAUUACAAUAAAUUUAGUAAUAAAUAAAUAUAAAUUUCAUUAAUGGAUAAAAAAAUCAAUUUUAAAAGAUAAAAAAAAUCAAUUUUUAUAAUUCAUUAUUUUUUUUUUAUAAAUUCAAAGUUCUUAAAUAUUUAGACAUUUAUAAUUAAUUUUUUUGAUUAACUCAUAUAAUCCAUGAGUCUUAUAGUUUACAAAAUAUUUAUCAAAUAAAGAUAUACUUGCAUGCUGUAAGAUAAUUUUUUUUACUAAUUUACCACCCCGGCCUUUCUAACAAUAAUUUGUAUUAUAUAAAAGACAAUGUUUUCUAAAUAAAUAAAAGAUAUUAGUUUAUUUUAUAUAUAGACAACCACAUAUCAUUUCCAUAUAUAACAUGAUGGUUGUUCAGAUCCGUGAUUAUUUAAUUUAAACUAUUAAAUAUGUAUUUUAUGAGUCGGUGAUUUCUAACACUAUUAAAAAAAGGGACAUUGUAACGAAACUAAAAGGCCGAGUUUCCUGUAAGCAGCUGACUGAAGCCAGACAGUCAAGCCAAGCUGAUUCUCCCCGCUCUCGACCAAAAUCUAUUACUAUUUUCAUCAUCACCGACACCCUCCCCCUCUCUUUUCUUAACAAAUCAAUACAAAUGAUUAAUAUGCAGUAAUCAUCGAAAGUGAGAUCAAGAAUGGGCCCUUUUCUUCUCACGCCAAUGCCCAUCAAACUUCAUUGAUUAUCAAGUUCCUUCAAAUUCAAAUCAAGAACGAAAAAAUCAAUUUCUAUCAUCUGGGGCUCUUCUUUAGUCCCCUGUUUCUACUUUAAUUGGAAUACAUGGAGGCAAAUGCAGGAUUAGUUGCCGGAUCUCAUAAGAGGAACGAGUUGGUGAGAAUAAGACAUGAUUCCGAUGGAGGGGUAUGUGUUCUUUCGAUUUUUCUUGAAUACCCUUUUGGAUUUUGAGUGUUCAGAAAUCAAUUUUAUCGACUCUUGUAUAGAUCUAAGUGAUUUAACAGUAGGCUAUUUUGUUUAACCCAAGUUUGUUUAUUUUGUUUGGAUCUGAGUGAUCAGUGUGACCAGUGAGCUCAGUAAUGAGUGAUGAUACGACUUUUGACUUAUUAAUCCUACCUUUUUGUUAAAUCUUCAAAGAGGGUUUUUUGUUAAAUUUGUGGAUUUAGAUCUGAAUCAUCGAGAUGAAAGUUUCUGUUUUCAGCGCCCAUCUUGAUUAAUUUGACAAAAUUUUCAGCUUUAGCACAUGAUGAUUUCUUAAAUUAUUUAAUUUUGAUUGUGACGUUGAGUGUUGAUGAUGCAGCCGAAGCCUUUAAAGAAUAUGAAUGGACAGAUAUGUCAAAUCUGUGGCGACACCGUCGGCCUGACUGAAAACGGCGACGUUUUUGUUGCUUGCAACGAGUGCGCAUUCCCGGUUUGUAGACCCUGCUACGAGUACGAAAGAAGAGACGGAAAUCAAGCAUGCCCUCAAUGCAAAACUCGAUACAAAAGACACAAAGGUUAGUUUUUGAGUUUUUGUUCGUAUCAAGAACACAUCAAACAUAUGAUUUUUGUAAGAAUUAAAGAGAGAUACAAAUGUUUUUAGGGAGUCCCCGAGUUGACGGUGAUGAUGACGAGGACGAUGUUGAUGACCUGGAAAACGAGUUUGAUUAUGCACAAGGGAGACGACAAUGGCAAGGAGAAGAUCCGGAUCUUUCUUCAUCUUCUAGAAGACAUGAAUCACAGCAACCAGUUCCCCUUCUCACUAAUGGCCAACAAGUAAGAAAAUUACUUAUAUACCCUUUUGUUCUAAGCAUUACCUUUUUAACUAAAUUCAGAGUGUUAUUUUCAGGUAUCUGGUGAAAUCCCAAUUGCCACACCGGACAAUCUAUCUGUAAGAAGUACAUCGGGUCCAUUAGGCCCUGGUGACAAGCCUGUCCGCUAUAUGGAUCCAAGACAACCAGGUUACUUUCUUUUUUUUUUUUUUUUUUUUUAAAAAAAAAGUAUUAUUAUUAAUCAGAUAAUGUUGUAGUAAUUAUGCUAAUGAUGCCCUUUUAAUAAAUAGUUCCUGUAAGAAUUGUGGACCCAUCAAAGGAUUUAAAUUCAUAUGGGCUUGGGAAUGUGGACUGGAAGGAAAGGGUAGAAGGCUGGAAACUAAAACAAGACAAAAACAUAAUGCAAAUGGCAAACAGAUACAAUGGCGGUGAAGGGAGAGGAGGUGAGAUUGAAGGCACGGGAUCAAAUGGAGAAGAAUUGCAACUGUAAGUAGUAAACUAAAGGGUACUUUAGGAAUAUCAUAUUUGUCGACUUAUGAUUUGACUUUUUUUUUUUUUUUUUUUUUUUUUUUUUUUUANUUUGUUUUGUUUUUUUUUUUUUUUUUUUUUUUUUUUUUUUUUUUUUUUUUAAAUAUAUAUAGGGUUGAUGAUCCAAGACAAUUAAUGAGCCGUGUGGUGCCUAUUUCAUCUUCUCAUUUGACUCCAUAUCGAGUUGUGAUUAUAUUGCGAUUGAUUAUUUUGGGAUUUUUCUUGCAAUAUCGGUUGACUCAUCCUGUUAAUGAUGCGUAUCCUUUGUGGCUUGUAUCUGUUAUUUGUGAGGUGUGGUUUGCUUUUUCUUGGCUUCUUGAUCAAUUUCCAAAAUGGUCCCCCGUUGAACGUGAGACCUUCCUUGAUCGCCUUGCAUUGAGGUAAGUAAGUAAUGGGAUUUAGAUUUUGGGCUAAUUGCAAGAAAUAGCAAUGUACUUUCAUUUGUAGUCAUCAUCAUGGGCAAUUAGGUAAUUUUAGCUUAAACAAUGAAAAUUUGUUGUUUUGUAGGUUUGAUAGGGAAGGAGAGCCUUCACAAUUGGCACCUAUAGAUGUCUUUGUGAGUACAGUGGAUCCAUUAAAAGAGCCUCCUCUCAUCACUGCAAACACAGUGUUGUCUAUUCUUGCUGUGGAGUAUCCUGUUGACAAAGUCUCCUGCUAUGUAUCUGAUGAUGGAUCUGCUAUGCUUACAUUUGAGUCUCUUUCUGAGACAGCAGAGUUUGCAAAAAAGUGGGUCCCAUUCUGCAAGAAGCAUAGCAUCGAGCCCAGAGCCCCUGAGUUUUAUUUUGCUCAAAAGAUAGAUUACUUGAAGGACAAGAUCCAGCCUUCUUUCGUCAAAGAACGUAGAGCAAUGAAGGUGAGUUUUACCACUUUUAUGUUUUAUGUUUUAUGAUUUCUUCCAGUGUUUUACCAAAUACCUAAAACACCCUUUUAUGGCAGAGAGAAUACGAAGAAUUCAAAGUUCGGGUCAAUGCACUUGUAGCAAAAGCACAAAAGAUGCCGGAAGAAGGCUGGUCUAUGCAGGAUGGAACUCCUUGGCCUGGAAACAACCCCCGUGAUCAUCCUGGAAUGAUUCAGGUAUUUGAAUGAUUGUUUGGUUGCUGAAAAUUUGUAUAUCAACAGUUGAUUGUUGACUUCUCUUGUUUAUGAUGAUUGGAAUUGGAUAGGUGUUCUUGGGGCACAGUGGAGGUUGCGAUACAGAUGGAAAUGAGCUACCUCGUCUUGUUUACGUGUCCCGUGAAAAACGUCCUGGGUUUCAACAUCACAAGAAAGCCGGUGCCAUGAAUGCUUUGGUAUGGAUCUCUUAAAAAAACAUGGAAAUUUUUUGUGUUUAUUGGUUGUUUAUGGAUGCGAUGCAAUUUGGUGUUACAGAUUAGGGUUUCGGCGGUUUUGACGAAUGGCGCGUACCUUUUGAACGUCGAUUGUGAUCACUACUUCAACAACAGCAAAGCUCUAAAAGAAGCCAUGUGUUUCAUGAUGGAUCCUGCCUAUGGAAAGAAGACAUGCUAUGUUCAAUUCCCACAGAGAUUCGACGGGAUUGAUUUACACGAUCGAUAUGCUAAUCGCAAUAUCGUCUUCUUCGAUGUGCUUUUCUGAACUUUACAGAGUCAAACUUAAAAAAAAAAAUUCAAAUUCAAAUUCCGAUCUUGUUGGGAUUUCAAAAAUCAAAAAUUGACAUUUCUAUAUAUAUAUAUUUUGUACAGAUUAACUUGAAAGGGCUGGAUGGGAUUCAGGGGCCGGUUUACGUGGGAACUGGUUGCUGUUUCAAUCGACGAGCUCUGUAUGGAUACGACCCUGUUUUAACAGAGGCUGAUUUAGAACCAAAUAUCAUUGUGAAAAGCUGUUGUGGUUCACGAAAGAAGUCGAGAAACGUUAACAAGAAGUACGUGGAUAAAAAAGCAGUGAUGAAAAGAACGGAAUCCAACACUCCAAUUUUAAACAUGGAUGAUAUCGAUGAGGGUGUUGAAGGUUUGAUUUUGAGUCUUUCACUUUAGUUUGUGGGUCCAGUGAAUCAUUAAUGUUGACUAAAUUCUUUUGUUUUUGAAAGGGUAUGAUGAAGAUAGAUCGUUACUAAUAUCGCAAAAGAGCUUAGAGAAGCGAUUUGGUCAAUCUCCUGUAUUUGUUGCUGCAACUUUCAUGGAGAUGGGAGGAAUUCCCCCCACUACCAAUCCAGCUACCCUUUUGAAGGAAGCAAUACAUGUUAUUAGCUGUGGUUAUGAGGAUAAAACCGAGUGGGGUAAAGAGGUAAUUUUACCCUUCUAGCUUCCGAUUCUUGUUAUACAUGGUCAUCGGAAAAACAAUAAUCUUCAUGUUAUUUUGUUUUGUGUACAAAUGCAAGCAGAUUGGAUGGAUUUAUGGGUCUGUGACAGAAGAUAUUUUAACUGGAUUCAAGAUGCACACAAGAGGAUGGAUCUCAAUAUAUUGCAUGCCACAACGUCCGGCUUUCAAGGGUUCUGCUCCGAUCAAUCUUUCCGAUCGUCUGAACCAGGUCCUCCGGUGGGCUUUAGGUUCAAUCGAGAUUUUACUCAGUAGACAUUGCCCCAUCUGGUAUGGGUAUAAUGGUAAAUUAAAACUCCUGGAGAGGCUCGCAUACAUAAACACCAUCGUCUAUCCCCUCACCUCCAUCCCUCUUCUAGCCUACUGUGUACUUCCGGCCGUCUGCCUUCUCACCGGAAAAUUCAUCAUCCCCGAGGUACGUUAAUCAUGCUUUAUGAGUUGUACGAUAUGCAUGAAUGUUUGUACAUGUUGAAAAUUGGGGGUUUUGCAACAGAUAAGCAACUAUGCUAGUAUGUGGUUUAUUCUUCUCUUUAUCUCCAUCGCUGCAACCGGAAUCUUGGAGCUCCGGUGGAGUGGCGUGAGUAUUGAAGACUGGUGGAGAAACGAACAGUUUUGGGUGAUAGGAGGCACGUCCGCUCAUCUAUUCGCCGUCUUCCAAGGUCUUCUCAAAGUUCUCGCCGGAAUCGACACCAAUUUCACCGUCACAUCCAAGGCAAACGACGAAGACGGUGAUUUUGCAGAACUCUAUAUAUUCAAAUGGACGGCGCUCCUCAUCCCACCCACCAGUGUUCUGAUCGUAAACCUAAUCGGCAUAGUUUCCGGCGUUUCAUCUGCAAUCAACAGCGGUUACCAGUCGUGGGGCCCACUUUUUGGGAAACUGUUUUUUGCAAUCUGGGUUAUCGUCCAUUUAUACCCGUUUCUCAAAGGUCUGUUGGGUCGGCAAAAUCGAACCCCCACCAUUGUUAUCGUGUGGUCGAUUCUGCUUGCUUCGAUUUUCUCCCUUUUGUGGGUUCGUAUCGACCCCUUUACCACAGACGAUACUCUUGAUGCAGUUAAAGGACAAUGCGGGAUCGAUUGUUAGGUAUAUAUAUAUAAAGUUUCUGAUUUGCAAAUUUGUGUAAGCCGUGAUGUGAUGCGAUGUGAUGUGUACGAAUGAUAUAAUUAUUUGAUUUAUUGUUGUUAUCCCACGAAUUCAAUGAAAAAUUUAAGUAUAACCUUAUCUUAAUAUGUCGGUUCAUUACAUUCAAUUAAGUUGAGUUGUAUGCAAAUUUCUUGUUAUUAUACAGUAUAUUACAAAAUUCAAACACUAUCUUCUUCAUAUUUAAUUUCAUGAAUUUAGUCUUCAACAAGUACAUAUAUAUAAAACAAAACAUGAAAUUCCAUACACACCAAGGUUCAUGUCAGAUCCUGAAACAAAAGAUUAAAGAAAAUAAAGUUAGAUGGUUGUAAAUUGUAACCUAAUGAAAUAUAAGAAAAGUUGGGGUUUUACUUACUCAAUAUAUUCAACGUUGAUUUUCUCCCUUUGAGACUUGGAAAUGGCAGAAAAAGCAUCAUUUGACAAAACAAUAGUCGAAGGACACGGCCUUUUGGAACAAAAAUCUACCACCUUAACAUCAAUGGUACCAUCUCUACAUGGUUUAUUAUUUCCACUCAAACACUUGAGUCUGUAUCGCCUACCACAUGCUGCACCGUUAUCCCAUAGUCCUUCGCUCACUGACACAAAUAAGUUCCCCAAUGGGAAUUGAUCUGCUCGGUUGCCAUUGCACCUUGUGGCUACAUUAAAAAUACAUAUAAAAAAAAAUACUUCAAUUUAACUAUUAUUUAUUUAUUUAUUUACAAUGUCAAAAACAUAAUAAUUAGAAUCAUAUUUAAACUUACGUGUAUAAGGAGGCUCAUAGGAUGAGGCAGUGCCAAUUUCACUCAAACCACACUUGAUGUUAUUGAAGAUUAACAAUAAAAAUAAAUUCACAAUCACUCCAAUUCCCAUCGCUACAAAUUCCCUUUUCUUUUUUCUCUCUCUCUGUCAAAUACUAUGGUAGUAAGAUGCACCCCCUUGGAUUAUAUAUAGAUAUCGUAUGGAUUUAUUUAAAAGAUAUAGGUAUAGUUUGAGAUAUAUUGUCACGUGUUUUUUAAUAGAAAUGUGCUUAGCAUGUAUAUAGAAUGAAUGAAAAGUUGGUGAUCAAAUUGGAUAAACUAUAGAUGUUUAAUGUGAUAUAUAUCUACCUUUGCGCAUGAAAAAUGGAUUUAAUAGGUUUUGGUCAAUUGUGAUAUAAAGUUCUUGAUGCCUACCACUAAUUAGUUUAAGGAAAGAUGGUUUCUAACGUAAACAUAAAACAACUUUUCUAUCGUCUCUUUUAAACAGAAAAAAUAGUCAAUUUUGACAAUGGCACAAAAAGGCAAUGGAAAAGCAUAUGUAAGGAUUAUUAGAUAAAACGAUAGUGUUUUAAUGGAGAAAAAUUAUAUUUUCGGUGAAUUUUUUUUAGUUGAUAAACCCAUUGUUGGUGUCGAAUCUAUGAAAUUAUUUUGGCUUAUACGUCGGCUGACCGAUAUGAUUACCAAAGAAAGGUGCAUCCAGUACAAUCACCACUAACUAAAACCAAUGGCUCUAAACUGUUCGCAAUUUUUUAAGGAAGGGAAAUUCAUAUUUGAAUUCGUCACUACAAAGUGUUACAUGAUUCGUUAUUAAUAAAUAUUUUAUAUUACCUUUUAUCAUAUAAAUAAACAAUCCAAAUUUUAUUUUUAGAUGCAUAUUUCACAAAGCUUUUGUGUUUUUUUCGGUUCAAGUUUGUGUUAAAGUAAUUCAAUAUAGAUGGAGAAUGUCGUUCAAUAAAAGUAGUUUGUGUUAAAGUAAUUCUAUACAGAUGGAAAAUGAUGUUCAAUAAAAGUUUAGAAUAUCAGAUAAUCAAAAUUAGUUUGUCGAUAAGAUUUAUUAUUUUAAAAGAUGGGAUAUAUAUACUAAACUCUCAAUAUUUUUAACGAUUCAACAAAAAAGUCUUAAAUUUUAUUUUUUUAGAGUAAAAUCCUAACUAGCGGCAGUUUUUGACAUGUUUACCAUUUUUUGCCAGUUAGCCAGUAAUUAUGGUUUUACUAUAAAAAAAUAAAAUUUAUGACUUUCUUUUUCAAAUCGUGAAUUAAGACAUUACUGUAAAAAAAAAUUAAAGUUUAGGACUUUCUUAUCAAAUCGUUAAAAAUAUAGGGACUUUAGUGUAUAUAUCCAUUUUUUUGUUAGAAAUUUAAUGUCAUUAUAAUCUUUAAGUAUAAGAGUUAUUGAAAUCUGACCAAUAUGCUCUGGUCAACUAGAUUCUAUUAAAAUCAUUAACGUUUGAUUCUUGUUAAAUAGUUUUUUUUUAAUCUCAACAAAUCGACAUUGAAAAAAAUAAAGAUAAUCAAGAAAGAAAGAACCACGAUUGUGUUGAAUUUUUGCAUAAUGAUAAUCAAGAAAGAAAGAACCAGUAUCGUGUUGAGUUUUUUGCAAUCCUAAAAAUGGAGAAUUAAGAAACCGGAAAAGAAGAAAUUGUCCUUCUUACACAUUCUCCACAUUCACACAUUUUUUACCGGACAUGUGUUGUUUGUGUUUGUUGAAUUUGUUCCUCUUUUCAGUUCAAGAUUUGACGGCGAACCAAGAAAAAAGUUUUACAAGUCUUCUUACCCUCUAUCGUUCUCUCUUUUGCAUCAGUUUCCCAGAUUGUGAUCGUAGCAAAGUAAGAUGAUGAUGGUAAGAAAAAACAAUGGUGUUGCAAUAAAAAUCACAAUUAAAAGUUCUUGGGAUAGGAAUUAGGUCUCAUGAGACUGAUAAAAUUAUUUGUUUCUAGGGAAACCAAACCUAUACACUAAAGUCUCAAUAUUUUUAACGAUUUAACAAAAAAGUCAUAAACUUUAUUUUUUUGACAGUAAAACCCUAAUUACCGGCUAACCGGCAAAAAAGAGUAAAUGUUUCAAAAACUGUCGAUAAUUAGGAUUUUACUGUCAAUUGAUUUUAAUAUUUUCAUGCAAAAGACAACUGUAUUACGAAAGAAAUAACUGUUAACCGUAACUACAAUAAGGUAUUAAAGUUAUAGAAGUUUCAAUCCUAAUAACGCAUAAUUUUCACUUUUGGUUUAAUAUGUUUAUAUUAUUUAUCUAAAAAACAAAAUCAUAAUAAAUAUAUUUUGAUUAAAUGUCACAGAAAAACCACGCCCAUGUCAAUUUUGAUUGUUACAAAAUGACAAUUUUUUUGAAAAGAGAUAUCAUACCGUAUUAAUAAGGUGGUGUUUGUUUUUUUUUCAAAAGCUCUUCUAGACCUUUUAUGUCUGCAUCGCGUAGACGACCCACAAACUUUUAGUCCUAUAGACUGUUUGUUUUUUAGAAGACCGUACGCAUAAAAAAAUCUGUCCAUCCUCUUCUUGACGUAGAUGUGAACAUAUGUCUUCUAGUCUCUUUCUUAAUCUUUCCACUAAUCUUAAGAGACAAUAAAAAAGCGCAAAAAGAAUAAAAAAAUGAAAAAAAAAACCUAUCAAACCUCAUUCGUGCACCUUUUUUUUUAAUUCAUUUGCCAUGUAAACACUUUGUAAAUAUAUUAUUUUAAUGAUUUUAGCUUUAUAAACUUUAUUUGGUCAAAUAAUUUUUUGGUAUUCAUAUUUUAAAAAACUUUAUGCAUAUUUAUCCGAUGACUUUUUAUAACAGUAAUUAAAAAAGUUAAAUAUACUACAAAACUUAUGAAAGUAUUUUACGAACGUGUUUUUUUUCUUCAUAAAAUGGACAAUUAAUUUGUUAUAUAUAUAUAUAUAUGCUUAUUAUAUGAUAACUAGGCUCGUGCGUGUGAACAAGUCUCCGUUUGCCACCUAGCACGGUAUCUNNNNNNNNNNNNNNNNNNNNNNNNNNNNNNNNNNNNNNNNNNNNNNNNNNNNNNNNNNNNNNNNNNNNNNNNNNNNNNNNNNNNNNNNNNNNNNNNNNNNNNNNNNNNNNNNNNNNAUAUAUAUAUAUAUAUUGAAAAUAAGGUGGUUGUAUUAUUAAAUUACAAUGUUUUUAUAUAAGAAAUAUUGAAAAAGUCUUUUAAAUUAAAAAAAAAAUCAAUUUAUUUAGGUUUUAAUUUAUUUUAGCAGUUUGUAGAUUUUAAAAAACAAACAGUCUUCUUGCAGACUGCAGACGUUUGGUCCAUAUCUUCUACUGCAGAUGUCGUCCGCAGACUGCAGACAUUUUGCUUCUGAAAAACAAACACCAUCUAAGUUUCAAACGCAUAAACAUUUAUUAACAAAAGACAUGUAAACGUGGAUUAUGAACUAAUGACAUAGAUAUACGAUAAGUACUAUAAAGAGGAAAAAGCAUAGUUAAGAUUGACCCAAAUUGUAAUGAUUAUAGUCUUGCUAAUGUAAAUAUUUAAUUAGUUUUUCUUGAUAAUCAUGAUAAAUGAUACUUUUUGACUCAUGAGUGAUGAAUAAACAAUAGUAUAUAUAGAUUUACUAAGACGAAAAAAGACAUGAGUUUUAAUGAUAGAAUAUUAUUGAAAAAAUAAUAAAGAAUAUGAUCAACUUUAAAUUAGUGCCCGGAUAAAAUCGAAGUUUUAGAAAGUGCUGAUUAGUGGCGAUCCUUCAUUUUUUUAUAACUUUAUUUCAAAUUAAUGGUAAUCAUGUAUAAUAAUUAAUAAACUUACAAUACGCUAAUAUACAUUACAAUCAUUUUCAUCCUAUGUGAAAAUAAUUUUUGACAUAUUAUUCGUUUUCAAAUUAUAUAGAUGCAUAGGCAAUAAUAUGUCUUUUAUGUGAAAUAAUGUGUGUUUUUUUUAUGUGAAAACAUGUUUUUUAUAUAUAAAAAUAUAUUUUCACAUAAAAAAAACCUGUUAUGCAAAAAACCUUUUGGACCAAAUUUAUAUAGAAACAUAUUUUUCACAUAUAAAAACCUUUUUAUAACAAAAAUGUUUUGUAAAAAAGGUUUUUAGUAUAAAUAUGAUUUUAUAAAGCAAAAAUAACAUAUUUCGAAACAAAAUUUUGGAAAAAUAUAUGUAAAAAAAACAAAAUUUAAGAUGAAAUUGUAACAAAAUUUUAAAAUAGGGACAAAAAUAUAAAAAUUGGACCAAAUUUAUAACAAAAUUUAAAAUCUGAGAAAAAAAUGUAAAUUUUAAAACUGGGAUGACCUUAUAGCCGGGAAAAAUGAUGAAAAUGAAUAUAUUUACCUGUAUUCGUAUCUUAAUUAAAAAAAUAAUAAUUUAAAUACUUAAUUGAAUAUAAGGUUAAAAAUAUAAACACUUUAUAGAUUUUCCUAUACUAAAUACUAUAGCAAAAUAUGUGGAAUUUGGUAUUUAGUAACUUUGGUCUCACUUUUGUUAAAUUUCUAUUUUCUAUCAUUUUACUUUUUGAAAAUUCGUUUUUACCUCUCGAUUUUUCUACUUAUUAACUUUGGUCCAUCACUUUUGUUAAGUUCUCAAAUUUUCAUCCUUUUUACUUUUGAAAUUGUUGCUUUUACCCCCUUUAACUUUCAACUUUCUAGAUACUCAACUCACUCAGCAUGAAGUAUAAGAAAAAAGAGAAGAGAGAGAGAGAGAGAGAGAGAGGAAGCAGCGGGCUGAAGAACCCACAUGAGACGUCUUCUGGCGGUAACCACCAAGGCGUGGAUUUGUUACCCUAGCCGUCGCACGACUCCGUGCACCCUUGGAGAGUAAUCAGUGUUAAAACACUAAGUUGCUUGAAAUAAGGAAUUUGAAGUUAAAUUGAAAAUUUAAAUGUAGAUACGAAAACACAUCAUCUUGCUAACUUGACAACUUAACGCCAUCUUAAGUGGAUACCAUAGAAUGACCCACGAGUGGCGAAUUUAAAAAAAGAAUCACAUGGUUCCUAAUUAAGUGAAGCCAAUAAAAAAAAUCAACAAUACUUUUGGAGUCGGGUCAGGUCGGCUCAUGUACCUUAAAAGAACUGAACAAGUUCAAUCGGCUCAUGUACCUUGUAACGACCCGUCUCUGGUAUGUUGUUUCCAUGUUAUUUAUUUAGAAGUUUUCAAGAGGGACUCGGGGAGUCUAUAGCCCGACUCGUCGAGUAGAGACGGGAUUUCGAGCACGUGUAAGUCGCCGACUCAACGAGUCCAUAUUCGAGACUCGGCGAGUCCGCCUGCUAGGAAGAAACCCUAAAUCCCCGGGUUUGCUCACUAUUUAAGCAAUGUUAUGUGCCCCAAACUCGCCUCCUUCACCCUCAGAGAGCUUGAGAGAAACCCUAAACCAUUCCUUGUAUGACUAAAGUGUUUUGUGUGGAUUCUUGAAGGAAAAAGAAGAAAGGACCCAAAAAGAGGAAGUGUAGAGCAAAGAUCCAAGGCCAAAGUCAGAGUUCAUUGAGGUAUGUCUCGGAAUUAUUCUGUUUUGUGCUUAAAACCUCCAUUAGAACACCUCUAAGGCUAGUUUAAUGUAUUUUCCAAGCUUUAUAGUUGUAUGGAUGCCUUGUUGGGUCGAGAUAUCCCUAGAUCUGUUCAUUUAGGAGUUUUAGAGCCCUGAUCUAGUGCCUUUUCGAAGUUUCUUUGCUUGAGAACCCUAGAUCUAGCCUUUAUUAUGCUUUUUGAGCCUUUUAAUCUUCAUGGGUGCAUAUGGGCACGUAAAGAUAGAAUCUUUACGUGUUAAUCGAGCUUAGGGAGCCCAGAUCUAUAAGUUUUAUGCGUUGGAUUCAAGCAGAAUCGAGUUUAUAGUAGCUGCAUGCAUGCGACUCGGCGAGUCGUUCUUCCGACUCGGUGAGUCGAGUCGUGAGUCCCCGAUUUUUCCUCUUUUGAGUAAUGCCGAGUGGGGACCAGUGAGUAGUAGAGUGGACUUAGUGAGCUGGAGGUCAGACUCAGUAAUGGAGGGACUCGACGAGUUGUUCAUACAACUCGGCGAGUCCAAGGCAAUCUUCUUAGCUCAAGAACAACUCGUCGAGUUGUUCAUACGACUCGGCGAGUCGGAUGCAGAUAGCUUGAGUUCUAGAAUCGAAAGGAAACUCGUCGAGUUUAUGCCAUACUCGACGAGUAGCAGCGAGUAGGGUUGAGAAGUGAGAAUAGGGACUAGGCGAGUUGGCGGCCCAACUCGGCGAGUCAGGUCAACUGUAGGUUGACUUUGACCAGGAGAGUUGACUUUGACCAGGGGUAAAAGAAUCAUUUUACCCCAAUACAGUGAUUAGUAUUUGAUUGAGUGUGUUUAUGGAAUUGUAGCCGGAGAGAUACCAGAGCAGCAGCAGAUAGCUUCCAGAGCCAUACAUUCAGCAGCCAGUUUACGAGGUGAGUUUCCUACCAGUAGGAACGGGUCUACGACAACAAUGCCGGCCCGUUUAGCUAGCAGUUAGUUCCGGACUUCGGUCCGAAGCAGUAGUUCAAGGUGCUUGAUGUUGUGUUUCGGGCAUGUCUAUGUGUUAUGUUAGCAGAUACGUGUUUAUGUUAUGCUAUGUUCAGACAGUUCCGGAUUUCGGUCCGAUGCAGCUAGUUCCGGACUCCGGUCCGAUGCAGGGGACAAGGUCCCAGUCAGUUCCGGAUUUCGGUCCGAUGCAGACAGUUUCGGACUUCGGUCCGAUGCAGUCAAUUCCAGACUUCGGUCCGAUGCAGUGGGCAAGGCCCAGUAUGUGCUUUAUUUGUUAUUGUGUGGUAUGCGGUAGUUUAGGGGAGCUCACUAAGCUUCGUGCUUACAGUUUCAGUUUUGGUUUCAGGUACUUCCGCAAGUAAAGGGAAGAACUCGGGAUGAUGCAUCGCACACACCACAACUUCAGUUUUUGUCGUGGGAGUUGAUUCAGUUUCUUAGAUAUGUUUUGAUACUGUUGUGACACAUUUUUUCUCACAGUAUUUUAUUAUGUGAUACUCAGUUUUAUGAUCUUUGUUAUAAUAUAAAUGAAAUUAUCGGGUCGUAUUUUUGGGAUGUUUCAAGUACCUUGUGCCACCGAUUAAAAAAAUUUUAAAAACCGAUUGAAAUAUAACUGAAAAAGACAUACAGCUUAACGAAAAACUAGUUGAUUAUUAGUCCAUUGAUAAAGCGGCGAACGCAGAGUGAGAGUCUUUGGCAUGUGGGCUUUCAUUUUAUUAGAACAACUUGUUUAUUUAUUAAUAUUUUGAGAGUGCCGAUUAAGAGUAGUUAACUUUUUAUUAUCAAUCUCAUAAUUUAAAAUAACAAAUUGUCCCUAAUAACUUAUAUUUUUCUCUUUUUAAAGUGGUUUUUUUUUUUAAAAAUAAAAAUAAAAAUAAACUCAAUGUAGGUUCUCUAUUUUUUUAAGACUAAAUUACACAGAUGGUCCCUGUGGUUGGCACGAGAGACCAAAGAUAGUCCUUAUGAGGAAUUUUGGACUUGUAUGGUCCCCGUGGUUCCAAAUUGUUGCACGAAGAGUCCUUAUGACAUACUCCGUUUAAUUGUUGUCGUUUAUUUAAAUCACGUAACCCUCACACGAGGGUAUUUUGGUCUUUUGCUUAUCCCUUCUCUCUCUCAUAUCUUUAUAUGAUCUGCAAAAGAUUUCCCUUCCCUAUAAAAAUUAAACCCCCAUCACUUCCUUCAUUAUUUUUCGUCUCCUCUAUUCUCUCUUCUCUCUUCUCUCUGCUGUGUCUUUCUAAGAAACUUUGCUUAAGAAUGGUAAAUUGUUUUUGUGGAACGCAAGCGGUGAUAGUGACAUCAUGGAUGGAUCUCAACCCAGGUUGUAUGUUUUGGAAAUGUCCUAGCAGUUGCGGUUUCAUUGCCUGGUUUGAUGAGCCGAUGUGUCGAAGGGUUGUGGCUGUCAUUCCAGGUUUGCUAAGAUCCAUGAACAAGCUUCAAGAAUCUCUGCUGCAAGCAAGUUUUGAAGCAAAAAAAGUGAAGAUGAUGCUAGUUUUUAGUUGGGUUUUCUUUUUCAUGUAUGUGUAUAAAAGAUGCUAAUAGUAUUAGUCUGGAGAUGAUGGUUCUUUUGCUUGUGGGUAGAUGAUGGUUCUUUUGCUUGUGGUUAGAAUCAGAUAAUAGUAUUAAUUUGAAGAUGAUUUCGUUUUGUUUGUUUGUGAUGCAAGAAAUGUUCGUAUGUAUGAAUGGAAUGCUUUUUAUUUGGGAAACUUUUAGUCUGCUACCAUUGUAAAAUAUUGGUCAGGAACUUAAUGAGUGUAAAAUAUUGGUCUGCAACUUAAUGAACCGUGCAGAUCCAUUAAAGUAUAAAAUAUGAAAGUGAAAGGUUUUUGUAGGCUUUAGACCAUUGUAGAGCCAUAACAACAUUAGAAAUGUUCAAAAAUAAAAUGCAAACUUUUGCAUAGUCAUAAAGUUCAUUACAUAACCUUAAAGUGCAAAGUCAUAAUACCAAAAAAAUAUCAAAAGAGCUUGCAGACUAAUGUAUCAUAACCAAAAGAACCAUCUUAGUCUAGCACCCUGUGUGAACCAUAAUACCAACAAAAGAUAAAGACACACAAUAACCAACUUAGUCUGACCUUUCUAAGGUACCAAAACAAACAACACAAAAGACCUUUCUAAGGUUCCAUAACAAACAACACAAAAGACAACAAAUCAAACUUUUUCCUUCAUUUUGGAUUUAUCCUUAAGUUUGGUUUUCUCCUUCAUUUUGGGUUUCUCCUUUUUUCCAUCUCCCUGCUUCUUUGCCUUGCUAAGCUUCUUGCCCCCUGCCACCACAUUUCUAACUUCAGUUUGUCCCCCUUGUCCCUUGCAACUCCUAGAGUUGUGACCCUUGUUAUUGCAUUUGCUACAAGUAACUGUAAGGAACUUCUUGGUCAAACUUUUACCUUGAUUAUUUGGUUCUUCAGUUUGAGCUCUCUUUCUCUUCUUUUUUGGUCUCCCCACCUGCAUAAUUAAUAAAUUAUAAAACAGUAUAAACGUAUACUAACUUGUAAAUUGAAAAUUAUUUACCUGUUUAGUAUGCUUAGGAGGUGUUAGUGUUAUGGGGAAAUCUGACUUUGGCCACAUACUUCUUCCAUUGAUAGGUUGAACUUUGUACUUGUACAUUUCAUUCCAUGUGCUUAACCUAUAACAUGGAUGUACCCACUCCUCAAGAGGUGGGACAUUUUUUCCCAGUGCCUGCAACUACAAUUCCUGUCCCUCCAAUUAACCACAAAUUGUUCCCCCAUUGUCCCAGUAACUUGAGUCUUAUCAGCACCAUUAAAUAUGCAAGUGUAUUGAGAAGCAUCUUUCUUAACUCCAUCUAAAAGUUUUGUGGCUGGGGGGGGGAGAGGGGCNUUAUCUAUCACAUUUUGCACAAUACAAAUUCGUUUCAUUAAGUAUUCCCUAAUAUAUUCUAAACAUGUAAUUAUAGGUUUGUCUCGAGCAUCUAACAACUUUGAGAUGAAAACUUCACAUAAAUUAUUCAACAAAAUAUCUGUAUGUGCUCUUCCUGUACAAUGCAACAAAAUAUCUUAUAAGAAUCUGUCAAAGUGUAAAUCUUCCUUGAAUCUGUCAAAGUGUCUAACUGUUGUUGCUGUUGCACAUUCCCAUAAAUGAUCUCUGUGCUCCUUCCCCCUCCAUUGUAGCUUCAUGUUUUCGUGAAUAUGUCUUAAACAGAACCUGUGUUCAGCGCUAGGUAAUAGGUUGGCAAUGGCAGAUAAAAUCCCCUAAUUAACAAGUAACAAAAAUGUUAUUUUCUAAAUGUAGUAGACAAAAUUACAAAGAUGUCAUGAACAAGUAUCAUAAGAAGAUUAACCUUUUGCCUGUCAGAAAUAAAUGUGAAGUUUGAAUUUGUAGAGAGCUCCAAAUCUUCACCUAGACACUCUAGAAACCAACUCCAUGAGCUUUUGUUCUCGGCUUCAACUAUGGCAUAUGCUAGUGGGUAGAUCCGAUUAUUGGAAUCAAGACCCACAACAGUGAGAACCUAUCCAGUGUAAGGUCCCUUCAUGAAAGCCCCAUCGAAACCUAAAAAAUCUCUUAAACCUGCCUUAAAACCCAGUUUUAAUGCACCUAAACAGACAUAAAUUCUCUUAAACAUCCUAGUUUCCAAGUCUGCAUUUGGUUCACUGUAUACAUCAAUCUUCACAAUUGUUCCUGGGUUGCACUGUUGUAAUUCUAAUACGUAAUCCCUGAGAAGGCUGUAUUGCUUUUGAUAAUCUCCAUAAACAUGUUUCUGUGCAAGUUGUUUAGCCCUAAAGACCUUCAUUCUUGACAUCCCCACCUCGUAUAUCUUUUGUAACUCUACACACAAAGCUUUGACUGGGAUAGUUGGGUUUCCUUCCACUUCUUGAAGAAUGAUGGUUGUAAGAAACUUAGGCCUCAUUUGAUAGUUGCCGAUUGAGAAAGUGCUGACUGAGAAAGGUCUGUCUGGGUAAGAAAUCCUGAUUGGGUAAGAAAUCCUGUUGUUUGAUUGUACAUCUGACUGAAUGUGCUGAGUGAUGAAAAAUGACCAUUUUACCCUGCUGUUAUAUAUAUAUAUUGAUGGAUUAAAUUGCUGAAUAAUUAUAAAAACAUACAUAUUGUCAUACAAAAUGUAAAUUACACACAAAUAAAAAAUGUCAUACAAAAUGUAAAUUAAACAUAAAUCAUUUAAUAUCCAAAUAAAAACAUAAUGAAAUUUAAAAUAACAUAAUAAUUUAAUGUAAAGUAGGUGAAAGUAGUCGAUUUGCAAUCUGAUCACGCAAAACACGCAUAUAUUCAACGGCUUCUGGACCCCAUUCUAUGCCUUGUAUGUUUUCUCUAUCAAUUCCCCCACCUUGGACGUCAGGAGUAACCAUAGUGUCCUCCUCAAAAUUUCUAAACAAGUCAUCUUCUAUAUUGUAUUUCCUUAUAAAAUUAUGGACCGCGACACAAGCAAUGACUAUGUCUCUUUGCACUGUAAAAGGAUAAGGAGCCAUUUGUUUUAAGAUUGGGAAUCUCGCCUUCAAUACACCAUAAGCACGCUCAAUAACAUUUCUAAGUUGUGCAUGAGCAUGAUUGAACCUUUCUUCUCUAGUUAAAGGUCUGCCUCUUCGAAAAUCGGCUAACCAAUACCUAGUAUUGCGGUAUGGAGCCAUAAACCCACGAGUGUUUGUAUAUGCGGCAUCACAAAGGUAAUAUUUAUCUGCAAACGAAUGUGACAUAUUAUAUAAUGACACAUAUUAUAUAAAGAAGAUAGAUAAUAAAAAUUAUAUAAAGAUUACAAACCUGGUGGAGGAAAUGGAAAUCCAGAAGUCGAAUUGAAUGCAACUUCUUUCAAAACUCUUGAAUCAUGUGCUAUACCCUCCCAUCCAGCCCAAACAAAGGUGAAUAUCAUAUCAAAAUCACAAAUUCCUAUUACAUUUUGAAAACAUUCUCCUUUUCCUCUUCCUCAAUAACGAGUUUGUUGAUCAACAGGUACAACCGCACGUACAAGAGUUCCAUCUAAUGCACCAAUUGCUCCGGAAAAAAUAUUUUUUAACCGUCUAUGUCGUUCUGAGUUAUGUCUUGUUGGGUUAGGAGUUGUUGGUACUAUAAUUUCUUUUGCAAAACACAUCAUUGCUGUUAGGACCUCGUGAAAACAUUGAUGAAUCGUUUGUGUGGAGUGAUGAAAUCUUCCCUUAACCGCGCGAAAACGUUCAUUAUGUCCUAUAACAUGUAAGAAGAUAGCCAUCUUCUCUUCAAUGCUUAUUGUCCUACUAGCUUGCAACCAAUUUUUUUGGGUAAAAUGGUUGCAUAGUAAUGCAAAUGCCUCUUGUGUAAGACGCAUCAUAUCGAAACAUUGUGUAGGGUCUCCGUAUAUCAAAUCUUAUGUAUACGCAUACCCGCUUGAAUCGUUAUCUCUAAUUCUAAGAAUUCUGAUUAGUCUGCGCCGGUUUGACCUCAACCAAUAAAACACAAGUAAAAGAAAAGCUACAACUUCACCAUCAGAAACCAUACUUGAUCUAUUACAAACAAUUAGGUAAUAUGUUAAAGUAAAAAAAAAAUCAUGCACCAAAAAAAUUAGUAAACAUCAUUAAAAGUAACAAAAGUCGUAUAACAAACGUUGUAUAACAAAAUACUAGUAAACAUCAUCCAAAAAAGUCAUCAAACUAUAUAACAGUAAACCAAAAAGUCAUCAAACAUAGGAUCCAAAAAACUAGUAAACAUCAUCCAAAAAAAGUCAUCAAACAUAGGAUCCAAAAAACUAGUAAACAUCAUAAAAAAAACUAGUAUCCAAACUUUUCUACCCGCACCUAUCAAAGGUAACUAUACUUCCUACCCGCACCCAUCACCCACGACUCACAACUACUAUGCGAAAGUCGUAACCAAACUUUUCGAACAUCAGCACUUUCACCAAAUAGCAAAAGAGCGGUCUUGUGUCUUUCAUCUUCUUCUCCCCAUUCCAUUUUGUUCAAUUUCUCCAUACACGCAUCAACAUCCUUAUCCAUUUCACUUUUUUCAAUUCUUUCAUUUUUUUUCCACUAAUAACCUUACAAUCUUGACAAUCUCCUCUUCAACUUCUAAUGCCCUUGCAUCUCUUUUUUUUCCACCAACUCUUUUGUUUCCACCAACUUCCUUAUUUUUGAACGCCCCGAAGAUUCUUCACUUGCACCUACGUGUUGUGUUGAGGUUUCCAUUAGAACAUCAUCAUCAAAAUCAUGGGGACUAAACUCUUCUACAGGACAAGGGAGUGUAGAAGAUGGCCCCCAACUUUGAGAUCCGGUUGAUGUCAACCCUUCAAAUAGUUGGGUGCAAAGAUCAGGGAACAAUAGGGGUUUAGUUUUCAAUGACAACACGAACUUGUUCAACUGUUUACAAUUUUUAUAAAUAUUAGUAUAUGUUAUAAAAAUAAUCAUAAUAGUAUUGAUUAAAAAAAUAAAUUUAAUCAAAUAGUAUAUGUUAUAAAAAUAAUCAUAAUAGUAUUGAUUAAAAAAAUAUUACCUUCCCCUCUUCUUUCCAUUGUUCAUCGGUCAAAUUAAAUUUAUUUUUUAUAGGAUCAUAUAUAUUGCCGGUUUUGUUUUUGAGUUUCACCCAAGCAACAUACUUUGAUUUGUAGUAGUCAAAGUGGUUUCUCAUUUGCUUCUGAUCAACCUCUUUACCGUGUUCGUUUAUCAAUUUUUCGCGUAUUGUCUUCCAUGAACUUGCCUUAAGCCCAGAACCCUCACGACCAUUAGUGGUUAGUUCAUGGAUACAUGCAUCAAGAAAAGUUUUGUCCUCACUCUCGUUCCAAACCAACAUCCUAAAACAUUAAUAUUUAAAGUAAUUUAUCAUAGUUUUUAUCAAGUUAAAGAACAAUUUUAAACAUAAAGCAAUUUUCAACCAAGGAAGUUAACAUCAUCCUAAAUUAUGAUUUGAUAACUUAUACACAAACAAUUUCAGAUGUCACAAAACAUCAAUAUUCAAGCUAACAAUUUCACAAAAGAUAACAAGCUAACAAUUAAGGUCAACAAUAUCAAAGCUAUAAAAUUAGAAAGAAAAAAAAAACAGCCCAAUUUUUGAUUUUAUAGCUUAUACUUUUGAUACUAAUACAAGCUCAAUAAUUGGAAGACAUGUGAUGUUGCAUGCAUUCCCCCUCUCGCCCACUCUUCAAGGAACAAUUGGAUUAUUAAAAAAGUUAGGUUACCAUUAAUCUUAUAAUAAUUAUUUAUUAUUAAUUUUACUUUUGUACUUUACACAUAAAAACACAACNAAAACCAAAAAAAUAAAAAAAAAAAAAAAAAAAAAAAAACAGCCCAAUUUUUGAUUUACAAACCUACUUGUAUUUUCCAAUUCACAUUCAAUUUCAAUUCACAAGCUAUAAAAUCAAAAUUCAAAAAAAAAACCUUCCAAUUCACUUUCAAUUUCAAUUCAUAAGCUAUAAAAUAUGAACCGGAGAAAAAAACUUCCAAUGUGAAUUGGAGAAAAAAACUUCAAAUUCAGAAAAAAAAACAAAAAAACAAAAACAAAAAACAACUACCAAUUCACAUUCUAUUUUAGAAUUCAUAACAUUAGAAAAAAAAACCUUCAAUUUUCAGUUCUUAUACACAAAGAACUACAAAACAAAACAUAAACAAACUUCCAAUUCACAUAUAAUUUCGAAAUUCAUAUAUUAGAACAAACAAUUUCAGAUUUCAGUUCUUGUACACAAAGAACUACAAAAAAGAACAAAAAAAGCUUAUCAUAUGAACAUACAGGUUGAGAAUUCAUAAUAUUCUAACAUAUACUAAUUUGAUUUCAUAAAGAACUACAAAUUUCAUACCAUCAAAGCAUAAAUGGUAUCUGAUUUUGAAAAUUAUUAACAGAAAAAUUAUCUAACCUGUGUGAUGGAUCGAGAAGGCGUCACUGAUGGCGGUGGCGGAGGUCCGACGAGAUGGCACAGGUCCGACUGGUCGGACUGUUUGGCGUUCAAUGUUGUGGAGUUCUUCCUAGCGGCUGCUGUGCUUUUAGGUCACUAGAAGGGAAGCGAAUGGGGAAAGAAAUAAUAACGACGCAGGGGCAAGAUAAGGGCAAGAUUGUCUAAUUUCCAGUCAGCAACUGUUUAAAAACUGAUCCAGAAAGCGAUUUGGGUCAGCAGAUCUUACCGAGAAAGCUCAAAUCAAACACCAAAGGUCUGACCGAGUCAGCCCAAUUUGCUGACUCGACCCAGUCAGACAUUUAUCAAACACUCCCUUAGAAGUGCACUCUUUAAUAGACCUUGACUGCACACAUCUAUGCUCAUGAACCAAAGUUUUCACCAUCCAAUCGCUUUCUUCAUCAGAUCUAGAAAUUAAUACCACCCAAGGGCAUGUUGCUUUUUGUGAGCUGACUGUUUUAUCCUUGCAUUUGAUUCUACUUUUUGUCCAUGGCCCACCUGUCAUUUUCGGGACCACACCCCUGCAUUUUGCCCUAAUUCUUUUUUUUUUAUCAUUUUUUGAAAAGUAAAUGUUUCUCCUAGUUCGAAUUGAAUGCAUUUUAAUGUAGUCCUUCACUUCUGAUGAGGACUUAAAUAUUUGACCCAGAUGGAAUGCAGUUUCAUGUACUACUCCUGAUGAACAUGUGGUUGGUUUGUUUAACCUUCUCAUUAAUUUCUUCCUCUCAUCUUCUUCUACACCAGUUGAUUCAAAUAAUUGUGUAUCUAUCACCUCCAAAUCCUCAUCAACUGUGACAUCAGGUGCAUUGAAUGAUUGGUGGUUAUCUAGAUUUGGAAAAGAAUAAACACCACUGUGGAAGUCUUUCAUAUUCACUUCGACAUCCUCCACCAUAUUAAGUUCAUCCACUAAAAAGUCACUAUCGUCGCUUAUACUUCCAUCGGUACUAGUCUCAUCACUAAUAACAUCUCCAAUUUCUUCAUUUUCCCCCAUCUGUUGGUAAUCAUUAUGAUCCAUAUAAAAGAAAGGAUCAAAGUCUUCUGAAGGGACAACAUCUUGGGCUUUGUUAAGCUCCUCACUUGCAGGAUGAACUCGAACAUCUUUCACUACAUCUCUAUCAAAAUGUCCAAAAGGUACAACAGACCUAGAAAAGUCAUAGUUCUCAUUCAAGUCCAUUUUUCUACUACAUGAUCCUACCUUUGUACUUGUAAACUUUUUUCGAUUGAGUUCCGGAGAAAUAGGCUCAUUGAUUUCUUCCGAUACGACCUUAUUUGGAGAUAUAAAGUAUGCAUGGAGUCUAGUAGUUCCAUGUUCAGUAUACACCAUAAUCUCUUUAUGAUUAGCAACAUGCUUACUUAACAAAAGUACGUCUGAGUUGUUACCUAAAGGAAGUAACCCAUAAUCGAUUUCAAUCUCAGGAAUCAAGAAGUGGUAGUAGAUAGGCUCACCGUUGAUAUAACCUAUCUCCUUCAUCAUAUCGUCUAACUCAUGUACGGAAAACACGUCCAUGUCUACGUAGUCAACAUAGUCAAUACUCCCACCAACGUAACGUCUUCCUGGGUAUUUUGUGAACAUACCCCCAUGGUGAAUCUUGAAUGUGCAAAAACUACUUAACUCAACUGAAAAACAAAUAAAUAAUGAUAUGAGGAAAGAAUGAAGUCUCAAAAUUGAAUGUGCAUAAAUUACUUAACAAAAUUGAAAGUUGUUAACUGAUCACUCACCAUAAGCUUUGAUCAGGUCAGGAUUUUCUGAGAAUUUUGAACGGACAUUCCACAAAGUUAGAACGAUCGCAAAAGAUGAAAAUGAAAACCCUAGUUUCCGUUUGAUGUUUUGAAGUGAUGAAGAUGAAAAACCAGAGGAGAAAAGAAAGGGAUGAUUUCUUGGGGUAAUGUAAAUGGCAGCUAGAUGUAAGGAUCAUUUAUGAAUAUGAUCAUUUCGUGUAACAAAGCAAAAGACCAAAAUACCCUCGUGUGAGGGUCACGUGAUUUAGAUAAACGGAAACAAUUAAACGGAGUAUGUCAUAAGGACUAUUCGUGCAACAAUUUGGAACCAUAGGGACCAUACUCGUCCAAAAUUCCUCAUAAGGACUAUCUUUGGUCUCUUGUGCCAACCACAGGGACCAUCUGUGUAAUUUUGUCUUUUUUUAAAGAUAGUUCAUAAUUUUUCUAUUAUAUACAUUGUAAAUGAAAUUGAGAACUUAAGUAGGUCCUAGGACCUACCUAAGCACAUGGUGGAUACGCCCCUGUUACCCACACUAACCUCAUACACUUACAACACAAAUGAACUUGAACGGUCUAAGACCAAACCAAGAUAUAAUAUGAAAUGUGUAAGUAUAGUUUAAUAGAUGAAAGUGAGGUGUUGUUUGGGCUUGAAAAGUAGGGGUGAGCAUGGUGCGAUUUUUUGAGAAAACCGAACCGCAAACCGCAAGAUGCGGUUUCUAUAGGGUAAAACCGAUAGGUGUGGUUUUUGUUUCGGCGUGGUUUUACAUGCAUUUUCGGUGUCAUUCGAUGCGGUUUCGGUUUUUAACUGAAAAUAUGUGUUGGUGUGAUUUUUCAUACAUGUGUUGAUCUACCAAAGAAGUAAUAACCCCUAAAGAAGCUAGAGCAAGGCCUAAUUGAAAAUGAAGCCAAUUAUUAAUUGUGUCAUAAAGACCCUCAUGCCCACGUCUCAAUCGCCCUCUUGGAGGGAUAUGUGCAUCUAAAAGAUCUUUCAUACUGUGCCCAAUCCCAAAAUUAGUUCUAUACAUAUGCCCAACAAUAAGAAAAAGAAAUGCAAUAGCUAAAUAAUGAUGAGUCAUAUCAGCAUGUCCAAACCCGACUUUUCAGUUAACUUUCCUUUAUUUCCGGUACAGAUUCUCAUUUAAAUGUAUUUAACAUGCUUGUGAAAUAGUUAUAUGUUAUUCUUAUCAAAAUAUAGACUUCUUUAUGAUAUUACGAUUUUGAGAUUUGAAUUAUAUGUUUGAUGCAACAAGGGAUUUGGUUUUAUAAUCUCAAAUUCCAUUACUUAAUCAUUAUUGUUUAUACAGAUAGAGGCGGCUUUUGAUUCGAAUUGCAUUUUGCUUGUGAUAAGCAAAAGGAAAAUUGUUAAUGGUACGCACUUUGAUACAAAUGUCAAAUUUUAUAAAAAUAUAGCAAAACAUAAGGCAUGCACAGUGGCAAAAAGAACUGAAGAGGUCGAAGUUGAACAAAAUAUACUUUUAUUAAUAAGUAUUAUAAUAUAUUAAAUAUUGUCAGGUUUUUAUGGUGCUGUUUGGCAUUGUCCAAACCGCACCACACCGAAAAAUUACCAAUUAAGGUUGGAUUGGAAUGCAUAAUUAUCAAUUUAUCCUUAAUAAGUCAUAAAUCAACAAAAAUGGCCCAACAAUUUUCUUAAUCUUAAUUGUUGCCUUUGGAUUAGAAAUCAUCAACGAUCAAGAUUGGUUCUCACAAUUCUCUAAUCUCUACUUUUAUGUUGUUUUCAUUUGAACUCAACCCAAAAAUCUCACCAGUAAUCACCACACGAACAAAUCCCGUUCUUGAAAUGAUGAAACCUAUUUGUAUCCCGAAGAAUAAUUUCCCGCUCAACAAUCUUGGAAAUAAGCUUAGCAGCAAUAUGACAAUCCUCACAAACACGUAGAUUUUUAGUAAUCCGUAUAGGCGUAAAAGCUUUAGUAUUUAUAAUCACAAACACAAUAGCAAGCUUCUCACUAUGAACAGCAAGAUGAUUUCCUUUAUCUUCAUCUUCUAUAUCAUGAAGUGCAGAAUCCACUUCAGGAACAUACCCAAAAUCCCUCAUCUUCCCCACAAGUACUUCCAACUCUUGAUAAAUCUGUUUAGAUUGUGGAUGGGAUUGAUCUCCAGCAAGAAACGAAUGAACUUGAUUAUUAAGCUCAACAUUACUAACACCGGGCUCUUUUUUCACUCCUUUUGAUUUCAUUAUUGAACGAAUAUUUGUCACAUCUUUAAAUCUACCUGCUUUUGCGUAUAUAUUUGAUAAUAAAACAUAAUACCCUGCUUGUUCAGGGACCAAUUCAAAGAGAUGAUCUGCUGCUACAAGACCAAUUUCCAUGUUGGAAUGAACUUUACAAGCACUUAACAAAGCACCCCAGAUUCUAUCGUUUGGUUUUGUUUUCAUUUUCUUUAUAAAAUCAUAAGCUUCAUUGAUUCUUCCUGAUCUUCCUAGCAAAUCAACCAUGCACGCCAAGUGUUCGAGUCUUGGAAUGAUGUUAUACUCUUCGGUCAUCAAUUUGAAGAAAUGUUUUCCUUGGUUUAGUAAUCCGGCAUGGCUGCAGGCUGAUAGAACUGGAACGAAGGAAAUGGAAUCAGGGGCGAUUCCGGAAUUUUGCAUAUUUGAAAAGACUGUGAUAGCAGUUUCACCAUCUCCAGUCAUGCCAUAAGCAGAGACCAUGGAAGUCCAGGAGACGACAUCUCUUGUUGGCAUUUCAUCGAACACCUUGCGUGCUUCGUUUAAAGACCCACAUUUAGCAUACAUGUCAAUCAAGGCGUUCUCUACUGUUAGAUUAGGAAGAAGCCUUUUUGUUUUUACAUAUGAAUGAAUCUUUCUUCCUAGUAAUAAAGCUGAAAGAUCUCCACAAGCGGGUAGGAUGCUAGCAACUGUGAUUGAAUCCGGGUCGAUUCCGUAAUUCUCCAUUUGUUGAUAAAGAUUAACUGCAUCUUUAGGCAUCGAGUUGUUGACGUACACAGCUAUCAUGACAUUCCAAGAAAUUAAACUCUCUCGAGCGUGAUUCAUGAACAUUUCUUUCAUAAACAUCACGUUGGUAGAUGAAGUAGAAGUUGUUAAAGCAGGGGAAAGGCUGGCCAUGGUGCCUGCGUUGGGUUUUGAGGUAGAACAUUGCAUCAUUGUCUUACAAAUCUCCAAUGCAUCUUCAAACAUCCGGUUUUGGGCGUAGGCAGCAACCAUAGCAUUCCAGGAGACGAUAUCUCUACUAGGCAUUUCAUCAAACACCUGGCGUCCUUCCAGUAACCGGUUACAUUUUCCAUACAUUGUAAUCAAUCCAUUCCCUACAUAAAGAUUUGAAUGCAGACCCUUCUUGAGAACAGCAACAUGGGUUUGUAAUCCGACCCACAAAUUCUCAGACACGGAACAUGCUUUUAGAACUUGAGGAACUGUAAAAUGAUCAGGGUUAAUGUUGAACUUGAACAUGUUUCUGUACAUACGAAGUGCUUUUUCGUAGAAUUCAUUGUUUACGUAGCUUCUAAUCAUCACAUUGAAGAAGACUACAUCUUUUUGAGGAAAUUCAUCAAACAGUUGGCGGGUAACUGCGAUUUGGCGACAUUCAGAAUAAGCUUUCAUUAAUUUCAGAGCAAUAUGCGAUGCUGAGACGAGGUUUCCAUCAAUAAUUAACCUACAAUGUAUCUUUUUCAAUUGUUUGAUAUCUGGGCACUUGUCCAAGAUUUUGAUACACAAGUCUUCUGUGAUUAACAUGAUUGUUAAGGCGAGAUUUGAAUGAAUUUGAACUUAUAUUCCUUUCGCCAUGUUGUACCUGAGGGGCAAUCAAAUAGAAUGGACGAAGAUAACGAAGGUUUACUUGGUGGUGUUCACUUAAAAACAAGAAAUAUGAAGUUCUAAACGCUAUUUCUUGUUAAACAGAAAAUAUUUUGUCCAAUCUAAAAAUCCAAUUUUUGAGUAAGUUCAAGCUUAAGCUCAAAAAUAGUAAGCAAAACAUGUUUAAAAAAUAAAAGUUCGUUUGAAACUCUUUGGAUAGCUCGAGUAUAACAAUCAUCAUAAUUAUAGUCAAUAAAUCAGGCUCAAACAACCAAACUUGAUGUCCAGCCCUUGAUCAUCCAAUUGCCAACUGAAAUCAACUUAGUUUCCGGUUUUAGAAUCGCCCUAACAUUACAUAAGCACCAACUAGUUCCAAAAGUAGUUUUUAAUUCAAUGUCUCCCAUACCCGUGACUUCAAGGGUUUCCAUGUUACCCAACCUUACCAACUUAAGAUAAGUUCUUUACUUCAAUUACUAUAACAGAUCGAUGAGUCAUGUUCUAAUGACCUCUCGUCAUAUGAUGCAAUGCUUAGACUCGAGUCUUUUAAAGUCAAAUUCUAUAAUGAAAUAUACAUUCCUUCAAGUUUCUAAUGUGAUAUAAUCACAUUCUAGCAUGUAUCACUUCUAGCUACAAGCUUCUUACUUUAACAACAAUCACAAUACUUCUAUUGAUCGCUUUGAUUAUCUUUCAGUUCAAUCUUCUGGCUUAAGUCAGAUGCUACAUCGAUCUUGGUUCUCUGAACCACGUACAAUACUUAUCCUAGCUGUAAUCGAUUUGAUAUGACCACUAGGGUCGGAAUAACAAUCAUCUUCUUAGUCAUUACCGAAAUUAUGGUAAUGACACAUGAACAAAACAGAAUCAAUUACUAGCGUCUUGGUAACUCGUGACUUUCCCUGAUCCAAGUGCGAGUCGUGUGCUUCCAGUAGUAUAUGCCUCUACUACCUUUCACACCUACUCAUACUUGUCCCAAGUAUUGUCUUUCAGUUCUCCAAGUCACCAUAAAAGAAUUUCACAUAGUCAUUUAACACAUCGAAUAACAAAACUAAGGUUUAUAUUAUUUCUUGAAACGAUUACAUAGAUAUUCAAGUUCACCUUAUACCAUGCCUUUUAUAUUAGGCUACACCACAUGAUACUAUCUAUAUGGCUACUUUAUAUCUCGAUCUUCAGAUAUAUAUAGAUCCCUACUCCUAAUCCCUUGUAUCGUCACCUGCUUCAUCCAGGUUAGACUUCGAGAAUCUUCCUUUCUUAUCGAAUCUUGAGGAUCCCUCAAGCUUCUUCUUUUCUCAUGCCUUGUCUUAUUCCAGACCCUUUUUCCUAAAUUAGGUUUCCAUAUUCUUGGUUGCUCUAACGGUUGUCUUCAAAGUAGUUGCCAUUUUUACCAUUGCGCCAAAUUAUGCUGGCAAUCCGUUAGCAAAACUAUCUAUCUUGGAGAGUUCAGUAGCACCAAGUAGGGGAAUAACUUCAUCUGCUCGGUGAAUACGGUGACAUACUCAUCAACACUCAUCUUCCUUUUCUUCAAGUUCGAAACUCGUUGUUUAGGUCUAUCAGAUCUAUCUCUGAGCAGUAUUGCAUUUUCAACUGCUCCAUGAAUGCUUCCCACCUCAGGGCUUCUCCCCCAUGGCUUUGUAUCUGCCAAUAACUUCCACCAACUUAAAACUCUGGUCUUUAGUUGUCUGACUGUAAAGACGGUUUUCUGCUUGUUGCUGCAAUUGCAACUUUCAAAUGUCAUCUCUAUCUCGGAGAUCCAAUCCAUGAUCUCUACUGGCUUCGGGCUUCCAGAAAGACUUGGUGGUUUGGCACCUAAGAAGUUCUUAUACAUACGUUCAUCCUUAUCAAUCGCUUUUUUCGGGUCGUUCCUCCUUGCCACUCGGGGUUCAGCUUGACUCACUGUACGACUGUAAUUUCCCUCCUCCGACAAUUCUUCAUUCAGUUCGGGUUGCACGAUAGGCACAAUAGGUUCAUCCCUAUUAUCAAGAAACAUUUUUCUCAUCUCCUCCCUUUGUUCGGCCAUCAUAGCCCAAAUCAUUGCUUAGACUCUUGCCAUCGUGAUUGGCUCGGGUGCAGCUACUACCUCUGGUGCACAUUUAAUCACUCGUGGUUCAGGCUGUUAGUUUUCAUUAGCAUUUUCUAAUAUGUUGCGAGUUCUCACCAUUUCGAUCUAUACACUCUAGAGAUGUUCAGUGUACAGUGACGAGAAUUAAGAUAUGGAAAGCUUUAUUUACGACAGCCAUAUAAAUCUUCUUAUCACUCGUAAAAGUUAUAUACUAGUUCUAAUACCGUAAUUAAAUGUUUGGAAAUUUUGAGCAAAUGACGGUUCAUCAACAAUAGAGCGAAUCUCAUUUAGGAAUUCGUUGAUAGGUCGAUUUCCUUUAGGAUUUUUAGCAAGUUUGGAUUUUAAAGAGAUGAUUCUUGAGCAGGAGGUGCUGGCAUAGCUUGUGUUGAGAUGCUUUCAUGCUUCUUUUGUGGUAAAUACAGAGGUAAUGAUAGGUUGAAUGAAUUGCAUCUGAGCAUGAACCAAGAAUUGCAUCGAAUACUACAUGAUCUUGGCGAUAGCAAGUCGUGUAUUCAUGAUUAGGUUUGGAUUUGUCUUUGUCGAUAAUGAAUUUUGUGGUAGGAUCAGUCACCCAUGUGAUGUAAUCUUCCAGACCUAGUCCAAUAAAUGUGGACUGCACUUGUCGCCUCCAUACAUGGAAGUUGUUGGUGAGUAAUUUGGUAGGAAAGUGACUUGAGGCGGUGAUUUGUAUUUGGGAUGAUUGUGUCAUGGUGAUGUUGAUGAAAAGGAUUAGAGGAGAAAGGCAAGAUGAUCGAUUGACUCUUUAGAGUGUGUGUGCUCUGAUACGAUAUGAGAUUUGAGAAUCAAUGGGCUCGAAUGAAUAAUUUCAUUUACAAAGAUCGAUACAUAUAUAGAUGGUAACGAGAGUUAAAGAGCUAUACAUGGAAUUUACUAAGAAUAGAUUGCAAUUACAUACAAAUAGAAGAGAUUAUUGUAGAUUAGUCAUGAAGAUGUGUACGAUGUUAUAGUUAGAUUGCUUAUUUGCAAUCCAUGUUAGCUAAGUAUGUCAUGUUGAAUACAAAUUGUAUUAAAACAUUAAAGUUCCAACCAUUAUAUGUUGAAGAAGAAGCAAAUACGCCUUAGUCACACCCAUUCUAAAUGAUAUGGAUGUUAUGGUUGUCGUUUCUAUGCAACCAAAUCGUGAUUCCAAGUUGCAGUUGUCUUACCAAUAUAUCAUGUUAGGAAAAGAUGACAUAGCAUGAAAUAUUGUAUGUUACAACAAAAAGAUAUAUCUUAUAGAUGUCUUGCACAUGGGUUAUUCCUUUUUAAGCACUUAUAUAAAAAUAAUAUCACGUAUGUAUGAUAUCUAUUUUGAGAGAUUUUUAGCAAGCAACUCUUUGUCUAUUAUUGUUAUUGGAUAGAAAAAGUAUCAUCUUCGUUGGGAAGAUUUUACUAGGAUUAGAUUCAUAAUAGUUUGUCAAAGAUUUUACUAUUAUGUAUUUAUAAACCCAUGAAGUUUUCUAUUAAAUAAAUAAAUAAAUAACCAUUCACCAUUUAUAUCUUUUUGGAAUAGAGUUUGUUAAAUUCUAAUAUAAAUAAAAAGAGUAUUUAUUUAGAUUCACACAUUACAAAAUUACAAACUCCAAGCAUAAAUCCGAAACUUAUUUUUAAACUUCUUCAUUUAUAUUACAAGUUUUAUUCUUUUUUCCCAACCCACUUGGGGUUUCGAAACCCUAAAAAAGUUCUAUCCAUGGAAGUUCAUAUUUAUUUCUUAUCUUAAUGAAUUUAAGGUCUAAAUCAAUAAAUGGCAAUGUAGAAUUAACCGCAUAUAUUAAGUUAUUUUUGGAAGCUUUCCAACACAACACAGAAAGGAAAUGAUGAGAAUUUAUGGUACCAAAUAACAAAAUAAUCCCGGUUCCUAUAAAAAUUUAUUAAAGCUCUACUCAUGAUUUCAUAAUCUCCUCUAAUAUGAGGGUUACGUUAUUGUAAUAAUAACUAUGAUAAUGUAAAAGCCAUAACAUAAAUCGUCUUAAUUUAAGAAAUAAUAUAAAUCCCAAGAUAUUGUUUUUAAAAUAAAAAGGAAAAAAGUGGGAGUCCAUUAGAAGGAGCCAAGCUGAUUAUUUGAGCCAAGAGAGCACCGAUUUGUUAUCCUUCCACUGUUCGAAGCGAGAGGUUAUCGCAGCUCUGUGAAGCCAGCCUAACGCAUUGCCCUCUGCUCUAGGAACCAAGAAGCCCAAGCCUUCGCUCAAGCCACUUGAUCCAACUCCGAACUUGGAACGGGCAAACCAGAUUUUGCAACAGCUUUGACCCAACCAAACAAGGCUCGAUCUCAGUCCAUCCCACUUUAGAGCCCUCACUUGAGUCACAAGCUCGCGUUACCAAGCUCGGCGAUAAACGAAGUCCAUUUGAUGUAUAAAUAAUCGGAAAAACUUUCUCCUCCAAGCGAUGUGGGAUGCGAAACGAAAUAUUUUCAUCUUCAUUCUCUCUUUAUCUCUGUCAAAUACUGUGAUUACUGAUUACUGACUACUUAAACACCCAUGCAACGGAUUUCAAGUAUUUUUUUCAAUCCAUGGAUUUAGAACUGUAAACUGAAAAAAGAGAUUGUGGAAUAGUUUUGGAAACUGGAAUUUGUUUACAAGUUUUUCGUGAGGUGUAAGUGAUAAGAUAUGAUAUUUGAGUAAUUGGAAUCAUUCUCUCGAAGAUUCAAGUAUCAAGUAUGAAACUUAGACAAUAUAUAUACCUGUUUUCUUCUCUUUUUUCUGUCUACGAACCGAAUCCAACAUGAUUUCUCUACAAAAUCCGUGUCUUAAUCCUAAUUAACACUCACUAACCGGUUACCCCUCCAGAUGUUGCAGAAAUUUUCUUGAAUUAUCUCUUUUGUUUUUCACAAUUCAAUGUCGGUUGCUCCCUUUCUCUCUGAUUCAAGUAUUCAACCACCGCCAAAGACUUGAGAAAGUGGAGGAGUUUAUCAAUUAAAUGAGUUUAUAUGCUUUCCAACUUUUCGUAAAUUGCAAGUUACUCCCCGUACCUUUCGAAAAUCUUCCUUUAACAAUUGUGGAAAGUUGUUGAAAUUUGAAAAUAAAAUAAAAAUUAUAGUCAAGGGGAUCGUUUUAAAGGUUUCCAGGAGAUACUUUUGUUGAUAUAUUUUUGAAUAAAAAGUUAAUUAUAUAAUAGAUUUUUACCAAAUAAUGUGGAUAGCUAAAAAUGUGAUUAUGGUUUAAAAAAGAAAUCUAAUAAAUAAAGAUUAAAUAAAGAAGUUAUGUUUUAAUAUAACUAAAUUAAUGAUGGUAUUGUGUUUGAUGAAAGGACUAAAACUGAACAAAGAAAAAAUAUUUGUGUUUCACUCACAGAUACUAGCAAUUGAUGGGUCUUAAAUGAAAAGGAGUUGGAUAAGGAAUAAAAACCUUGUAGACGUUCACACUUUUCUCUUUUGAUCAAAAUCUUAUUUAUAAAUUUCAAAAUUUGAUUCAAACCUGUUGUAUAAUUUUAAAUAAUUAAACUCAUAAUUAAAAUUAUACUCUUAUCCAUAAGUUAAUAGAUAUCUUGACUCAUUUAUAGUAUUAUAGAUUACAAGAUUGUUGUGCACGUCACAAAGUAUCAUCCAUAAUAUAUAACAUGAUAUUUUACUUAAUACUAAAUAUACGACAAUUCAAAAAUCAUAUUUUACUAAAUACUUACGAUAACAUUUUUUUUUAAAUGGAUGUCUAUUAUAACAAAUAUGCAUGAGACAACGUAGUCGUCAAGAUAAAUCAUAAACAAAAUAAAUGUCUACUGUAGAAAACAUAUGUUUAACAUAUAUCAAUUGCACUUAGAAAAUAUUUACACUCUCAUAGUAUGCGUUCGAUAGGGAGAAAGCAUCAUAAUCAAUUGGUGAUUUUUUUGGUUGACGUGGUUAUGUGUUUGAUUAGAGAAGAAAGCAAAUAGUAUGAUGUCGAUUGAGGAUUUCUUGAGUUACAAAUAGGGUUAAUGUCAUAAAAAUUCUCAAGCUUUCAGGGUUUUGUCGGUUUUGCCCAAAGUUUAAUUUUAUGUCCGUUUUUACCCUAACAUUUUCCAAAAAAUGUUCGUUUUUACCCUUUUACCGGUGAUAACAGGUUACCAUUAUAUUAGUUUCGCAAAAAAACCCUUAAGUUUAUAGUUUUUUACGUUUUUACCUGUAAGUUUAUAUUUCUUUUACACUUUUACCCUUUGUAUUUUUUUUUUUCAUAUUAUAUGUAUUCAUAAAGAAAAAAUAUAUUUAUAUACGAAAUUUUUUUAAUUAAAUAUUGUAUUUACAUUUUUAUAAUGUUAUUUCUUCAUAUAUAUAUAUAUAUNNUAUAUAUAUAUCAAUAAAAAACAUAAUGAAUCAUAAACAUGUUUAUAUAAGUAUAUACAUAUAUUUUUAGAAGUGUAAAUAUGUAUUUUGAUAUAUGUUUUUUUUUAAGUAUAAAUAUAUUUUUAGAAGUAUAUAUACAUAUUUAUAUAUAAAAAUGUAAAAAUAUGUAUUUAUACUUUUAAAAACUAUAUCUAUAAAACACGUAUUCAUAAUCUUGUAAAAAAAUGUGUGUUAGGAUCUUUUGAUCGCAUUCCGAUCUUAUGAUCACAAUCUUGUAAAAUACAAAAAUAAUCGUAUGUAAGAUUUCAAUUUUGACAAUCUUUAUUUGAAGGAAUAUUAAAAUCAUAAAAUUAUGUUAAUGUGUAACUUGGAACUUGGUGACCCGACCCAAAACAAAGUCAAGAAACCCGACAUCAAAUAUCGAUGGGAUAAAUGUUUGGAAUAAGCUUAGGGUCGAUAGGCCCUAAGUCGUUGGUAAUAGAAGAAUUUUUCAGUUUCCGGCUCCCUACCUAUGAAGUAUGUCAUAUCGACCAAAUCAUAUUAAAUCUAUGUGUCAUUUUAUUGUUGCUUUUUUGCAUAACAAAUUGAAUACUUAAUCUCACAAAAUCAAAAACCUAACUUGAAUAUGAUCAUUGUCGUUGAUACAAUAAAAAUAUAAACCAACAAAACCUUGGAAUUCGGAUUGAAUCCACAUGGAGUUCGUAGUUAAAUUAUGUGUUUGAAAGAUUCAAUUAGCUAACCAAAGAUGCAAGAAAACUAAUCACUUUUGGAACAAUCAAAUUUGAAAUCCAAAGGACAAAAAUGUGCCAAUCAUAAAUUAGGAAUUUAGAAAACCAAAAGUGUAUUGCAAUCAAUUUCUAAAUUGAAUGACCAAAAAUAAUGACCAAAUCUCGCAUUAACUAAACAUUUGAAUGUAGUUAUUUAAUUUUUAUUGUAGCAUAGAUACAUAGACAUGAUCAAUAAAUCUUCUUAUUCUAAUAAAUGAAUAAGUUUAUUCUCAUGUUGACAAGUCUUCUCUAAUAAAUGAAGGUUUUUUGUCAUUUGUUACAUUCUCAUUCAAAUUGUUAAAUGUCAUUUUGUGGUUAUUUUGAAUUAAUUUUUUUCCCACAUAUCAUUUUAUGAGUUUUUCUAUUUUAUUAAAUUCCACAUAAUAUUUUAACAUAAUAGUUGUAAUAAAUGUAGUAAUAAACGGAUAUUAAUUUCACUAAUAAACUUACCUUUUAAUUUCAAAAUUCCCAAAAUUAAAGUUCAUUCGUUUCUUUUCUUUAUUUAAAUUAUGUGUUUAAAUUUAAAAGAUAAAAUACAUUUCCAUUAUAAUAAAUCAUUAUUUUUCUUAUUUUCUUAUAAAUUCAAAGUUCUCAAAUAUUUUGACAUUUAUAUUUAACAUUUUUUUUAAAUAAAUUCAUAUAAUACAUGGGUCUCGCAACUAGUGGCAUACUGUUAGAAAUCUUCAUUAAUAUUAUAUGUCAUCUAUCAUGCCACAUGUCAACCUAUUAAUUCUCCAUUUUAAAUUUUAAAAUUUAAAUUUUCCACUCUAAUUACAUUAAAUUAGAUUAUUUAUUUCAAAUUUUAAAUUUCACAUUCUAAUUACACUAAAUUAAUAACAUUAGAAUAAAAAAUAAAAUAAAAUUAAUAUAUAUUAUAAGGUGAUAUAAUUUAAUGUAUUUAUUUAAAUCAACGAUUAUAAUUUAUAUAACUAAAAAAAUAUCUCUUAAUUAAUAAUUUAUUUGAAGUAAUUGAUUAAUAAUUUUAAAUUUACUAUGUUUAUAUUAAUUUUAUAAUUAUAAUUCUCGCAGAUUAUAAACUAGUUAGUAGAAUAAAAUGACAAACUUUAGGCAUAACCCUUGAUAUGGCCGUAAAAUAGUGUUAACUCCAAAUCUAGGUGGAGCUCGGCACGAUAUAUCACAAUAAUAUUAACUUCAAACAAUUUAAAAAUAAAACUUAUGCAUAAAGUACGAGAAUAAAUUGUUGGGUUACAAAUAAAAUAUUGAAAGAGAAGAGGUUAAAAAUGGCCAACUAAAUGUGUUUGACCAUAUUUAGGGAGGAAGGAGUUGUUUCCCUCCUCCUGCCGAAACCGCUAAACCUUAGUCGGAGGGUAUCGAACCCAUCCAACCCCAAAACCACCGACCCCAUCUUCUUCAACUUUCCAACUUUGAGUUGUCUCCCCAGUGGGUUUCUCAAACCGUUAAACCCCUCUCUUUCUCUCUUGCUUUCAUCCCUUUCCUCCUCUAACCCGCUAUGACUCCUUCAUCCCUUAGUCACUCAACUUAUUUUUGUCUACUAAGAUAAGAAACUUUUCAAAAUCAUCAACUUUUAUCCAUUCAACUUAUUUUGUCAAUUUUUAGGUAAUGAUUUUAACUCAUUGCUCGCCUUUGUGCUUCUAAGAUGAAGUAUCUUGCAUAUUUUGGAGAAAGCAAAUAAGAAUAAAGUAUGUUGCUAAAUCUGGUCCCAAUAAACAAAUAUUUACUCAUAACAAUCUCACACAUAAGAAUUAUGUUAUCAUUAAAAGAUGAAUACGAAUGUUUUGUACUUAGCCUUUGCCAAGUUAUAUAACUUAAUUAAUUAAUUUAUAAGUCCAGACUUUACAAAGAAAAAUCAAGUGAAGUUAAUAAACACAAACUUAAGCAUCAUCAUUGGGUUGAUGCUCUUUUGGGUGUCUCGUCAAAGCUUGAUUAGUAAUGAUUGGAUCUCAUUCAUUAUUCACAUGUCAUCUUGAAACAAAGCUUUGUAAACAGAAUUAGAACCACCACCCCGUUCAUCUUUCUUGUCUCCUCCGCCGCCUAUCAUCGGAGUCUCACAAACCACGCUAUAACCAGCCCUCCGUUGUUUCUUCCUUUUGGAUUCUUUAUUAGAUACGGGUCUAACCUUGGUUGUUUGUAAUGGCUUCGGAGCCCAAACCCUCUGCAAAUCGGGCAUUCGGCCUGUGAAUACGAACCUUUUAGCCCUCUCUCUCCUCUCACGAGCCUCAAUUAACUUUUGUUCAUCAUCCUUUUCUGUCUCUCCUAAAUCCAAGUUGUCAAGCGGAGGAUGCGA